rnacentral:lncRNA from 1 species
GGCUCCGACGACCUUCUCCUCCUUGUCCACUCCACAGUAGACCUUGAGCGGAUCGUCGAAUUUGAGCCCUUCCUCCGAGUAACGCCACUUGGAGUACUCCUCGUGCCGCAGCGGGUUGUACACCAGCGGGUGCUCCGCGUCGACGAGGUCCUCCAGCGCGCGCACCAAGACGCCGUCCUUCUGCCGGCGGCCGAACAGCACCGAGAACCGCUCGCGGUUGCUCGGCGUCCUCACCCGGUGGAGGCACGCCGGCACGCGCCCGUUGGUCACGACCUGCACACGCGACGCCGUGCCGUGAUCACCAGAGAGAAAUCAAUCGCCUGAGGCAAGCGACGCCGGCCUUCCACGUACGAUGGUCACCAGAGAAAUCGAAUCGUACCCUGAGCUGCUCGCCGGCGACGAAGGUGAUGGUGCCGGUCUCGGCAGGGACGGCGACCCAGCGCCCGUCGCCGACGUGCACCUCGAGGCCUUCCACCUCGUGCUGCACGAUCGCGGUCACCAUGCUGUCGUCGCAGUGCGGCGACAUGGACAUGCUGCUCUCCGUGUCCGGUGGCACGCCGUAGUGCGACAGCCGGAAGCCGUGGCCCAGCAAGCCAAAGUGUGCGUCGAUGCUCUCCCCCCUGGUGCCGAGGCCCUCUAGGACCAACGUCUCCACCAUCUCCUCCAGCUUCUUCAUGUUCUUGGCGAACGACAGGAUCGUCUCGCUGCGCGUGGCCGCCGGCGGGGCGGACAUCGUCGUCGGUCGCUUAGAGCAAUCGAGCAUCAAAGUUAAAGAUGGCCAUUGGCCGAGGAAGAAGGAUGUCUCACCAGAACUCCGGGUUCCCCUCCGGCCAGAGGAUCUCGGCGAAGCCGCGGACGCUGGCGGCGUCGGUGGGCUCCCCGACGCGGAGGCUCUCCCAGUUCAUGCCGGGCUGCUGGCCGAUGUAGCCUCUGAACUGCCCCUUGUCCGACACCGUCCGCUGCUUGACCUCGAGAGGGAGCGCGAAGAGCUCCGGCAGGGCACGGGAGAAGAGCGCCCGCCGGAGGUCCGCGCCGAGCGCGUCGUGCGCCACCACGACGCAGCCGUGCGCCACCAUGGACGCGGUCACCGCGGCGCGGGCGGCAUCCCACGCUGCGCCCCCGGGCACCACCCCGCGGAGGUCGACCUUGGCGAUCUCCAUCUCCAUGGCUCGCGCCCCUGCGCCUCCGUGGGAUUCCGUCCUGUCUCGAUCUGGCUUCUGCUAGUGGAAUCUUCGCUGUGCUUCGCGGGAGGUGUGGUGGCUGCAGAAGUCGUGCGGAGUAGGUGCGGCUAGUUCGUGAUGUGACGCCGCUAGCUGGCGCCAUUUUUAUAUUCGGACGAGCAAAUCGUGCUCGUCGUUUACCUUGAGGCAGGACUGAGGACUUUUUCUUUUUUUUUUCUUAAAAAAAAGAAAAAAUAUCUUUCCGUCAACUCUUCCUUUUUUUUUUCUUCAGAAGACGCAACCUGCCGUAACAGCGCAAGGAAACAAGUUCAGCACGUUUUUUUACGAGGAACCAAAUAAAUUAUUUAACAGCAACUUGCUGUUAGAACCAUUACACAUUGUGAAAUGUCGUCAAUAAAGGAUGAGGUGGAAAAGAAGAGUCACCAUUGAAGAAAAUCUGAUUGGCCCUAAUACAUUUAAGAGUUUGUCUCGCGAGCCGAUCUGCCAUUUGGUUUUGUGUACACCUGAUCCUUUUUGCCCUGCAAGCUGAUCUUAAUUAACUGAGUAAAAGGUUUAACUCUCCAGUCAGGUGGGUGUUCCUGGUCUUGUCCAUUUAGGAAGUGGACAAGCUGCUGAUUGUCAGAAAGCAUAGUGGUAUGAUCCAACUGCAAAGCCUUGAUCACUGCAGCUGCAAGAGCAAGAGCAGCCGCUUCUGCCAUAAGGACGGAAGAGGCAUCCCUCAUGGCUGCUUUGAUAAAAAUACUAUGAGGGGGGGGGGGUGCACCUAGGUGUUGACCAAGAAGAUGCCAAUCCCAGCCUCUCUAGGGGCAGAGACUGAUUGGUCCGGUUGAAUGGAAGCAUCCACAUAGCAUCUAUUUCCUAGAAUCUGAGAAGGGAGUAGGACUAGGCACCUAUCCACCAUAGAAAUGGCAUUGUUGGACACCGGUAUGGUGUCUGUAUUGGUUCCUACAUGGAAAUUGUUUGUACCUUGAUGAUGUGGUACAUUGGGCAGAUUGUCACUGCUUGUAUUCAGAUGGUUGUGGGGGUUUAGUUGAUCAGCUUGGUGAAGCCGUGUGUUUGGGACACCUGCAACCGAAAACGCUGCACCUUGGUUGGGGAUUCCUGUAGUUUGGUUGUUGACAGAUAUAUCUUGAACUUGUAGGAGUGUUUCGCUUUGGACAUCAGAUGUCGUCUGUGCAAAGAUGGCAUUAAGGUGGGACUGCAUAUGUGUUGACGCCGCCUGAUGUACCUGAAAUGAAGUCCAUGUUUAGAAUUGGUACAAGACUCCAUGGCCACCUGAGCUGAGAUUUCUUGUCUUGGAGACUACCAAAUCAAAUGGUGUUUGCAACGAGUGAGGACGUCUACUCCGAGGCAAUUUCAACACCUUUUGGACGAUGUGGUCGCCAAGUCACCUUGCCUCAUGUAGAUAAAUUACAUAAUUUAAUUUACCUAUUACAAGCUAAUAGCAAAAUGAAAUACAAAUUACAUCACAUGAGCACUCCACAGAACGACACAUGCCCAAUAAUACAAUAAAUGAAUAACCUCAAGCCAGCUGAAAUAAAUAGCGACACACAUGCCACACCAAAUAUUACACACAAAUCAUCGCGAAUAUGAUUUUUGAGGCUAUAUCAUCGUAUCAUUCUGUGCAAAAACAAGUUAGACGUUUCUACGAAUGAAGUUAUUGAUAUUUUUUUAAUAAAAACACGCAAUUGGCUCCACCAGCUAGCUGAUGAUGGAUAGAACAGAUCGUUCAUAUGCUGUAACAAAUUAACAAGCAUGACGUUCUAGCUGGAAUAGCCAUACAACCGCUUCACUACACGAAUUCACAACCUCAUGGUUAGCCGUGCGAUGCCCGCGCGCCGUCAUAAAGACAACCGAUUAGCCAGUCACGUAACGAGAAAGCAAAAAUAGAGUAAAGCAAUCCAAUAUACGCAUAAUGCUAUCCGUUAAAAUGAUUUAUUCUACAGCCAACCAUGUUAAAAUAAUCUAGAUAAAAAAGUAACGCAAGCACGACUCUACAUUCCACUGUAGGGUUACGCGGAUGGCUACAUACUAGCACAAAAUAAUAACCGCGCGUAAAAAAUAGGAUCACUGGCAUAUAGGUGAUCAUAGAUUAUACCUUUUCGACGCGCGGCGCAGUGGAAGAUUUGGCGGAACGUGCGUAGUCAGUGUAGUCAACAUUGAGGAAUCAGUCGUAUCAUGCGUAGUCAAUGUAGAGGAAUCAGUGACGCAGUAAGCAACGCAGCGGCACCUCUAUAAACGUUCACGUGUACAGAGAGGAGAACUGCGUGACAGAGUGUGCUAGCACUCAACGCCGCGCUCAAGGAACAACAGCGGUACCAGCGACGCACUCGUCCUGCACGCACAUAAUUAAGGCCUUGUUCAGUUUCUAAAAUUUUGGGUUUUUGAAAACGGUAGCACUUUUAUUUUUAUUUGACAAAUAUUAUUCAAUCAUAGACUAACUAAAUUUAAAAGAUUCAUAUCGCGAUUUAUAGACAAAAUAUAUAAUUAAUUUUUAUUUUUAUCUAUAUUUAAUGUUUCAUUCAUUUGCCGCAAGAUUCUUGAAAUUUUUUAGAAACAAGACCUUAGGACGGCAUGGACGUCCGUGCUGCACAAGGGAGCCGGCAACGUAUGUUUUUUUUUUUUUGAGCAAGGCCGGCAACGUAUGUGGCUUGUAUGAUUCAGUUAAUCAACCCCUUGGCCCAUGAUCAGCAUAUAUAGGAAUUGUUAACCGGGCCAUAUAUGGGCUGGUUAGGCCCACACUGGCUUGGCCAUUUAUUUAACAAUCUCCCACUUGUACAAGACAAUUAGUGUGGCCAAAUACUGCUGCGUCAUGAACUCAAUCCAAUUGAUCCACUUAUCCUUUUAGUCCUCCCUCCUUAAGUGUGUGACCCCGUAGGUCCAUGCAAUCAACAACUAUAUAUGAGGAGGAACACUUUCUGAUCAAUAGACAACAUUGGCCUCUUGCAAGGCAUAUUGACUCCUGAAGAUUCACGAAGAUCAUAUCUUGCACAACCUUUUAAUACUCUCUAUUACUAUGUCCUUCGAUCACAUGACACCUAGCCAAGUACAAGACGAGUGAAUUGCUACCCUUGAUUCUUGACCAUUUCUCGCUCCAUGCAGAACAUAAUUUAUCGACCAACCAUUAGUCGAGGCAUGGCCAUGCACUUUCAGUUCCUAGACAUCAAGAGGGUCCAAAGGAGUCUCUCCUUGACACAGGAGGGGCAGAUCCCAUCUUGACUCCAUGCACCCUGUGACUUGCUUUAGAGCAUACCCAAAAGCUACUUUUAUGACUACCCAAUUAUGGAGUAGUGUUUGGAAGCCCCAAGUAUGACUUACACAAUCUGGGACUCUACAUCGAUCUUAGGUUAGAGGAUGUAAGUAUGUGUGUCAUUUGUGAGAUAAAUCGAUAGCACAUAUUGCGGUUGUCUCAUAGUGGAUCGAUCCGACAUUGUGUUCCCAACACAUAUCUACAUUGUUGGUGCAAUACCCAAUAUCACUAUGACCCAUGAAACGUGAUCAUCCAGCCAACACAUGUACCAACUUAUCUCUAUGUCACAGUCUCAUGUGACAGAUAGAAGUUGGGGGUCUCAUUUAGUAUGUUUUCAAUUUAAAUCAUGGAGUUUCACUAAUGAAUCACAUAUUUGUUAAUCACAUAUAAUGAAAAACAUCAUGGAACAUCUCACUAAAACAUGUAUUAGGCUCAUUCAUGAAAAUCAAAUGAAUUUAAUGCUUGUAUGGUACCACUAUUGUUUCAAUGCUUGAAUUAAUCUAGUGGUAGCAUAUGAUAUGUUUGUGGGUUUACAAUCCUAGUGUUUGAUCUAUAAAAUGAGCUAAAAGUGUUUAACUCAACAUGGUACAAGAUAACCCUUAUUUGAGGUAUGAAAAAGCUUGUCCUUGGAUCAAACCGAGUUAAAUAUCUUAGGAAAGUAAUCUAGAUUGAACCAAUUUAGGAAAAUGAUCUCACUUCACAUGGUUUCACACUAACCUAUCUAAAUAUUUGAGCUCACCUUUUUGGUCAUUAAUGACAAAGGGGGAGAGAAAUUUCCCAAAGAUUUGCUAAAGGGAGAGAACUACAAAGAUAGAGGAGUGACAUGAUAAAGGAAAGGUAUCAAUUUAAAUUUUGAAGCACACAAGUAGGGGGAGCAAGCUCAUAAACUUGUAUGUUGCAUUUGAAUGUGCAUUACAUAUGUUUGCUUGCAUUUGAAUUAGUUUUAAAGUUAUUUCUUGGAUACCUUGCUUGUGUGGUGUAUGUUAGUUGUAGGUUUGAUUGAUAAAAUGAAGAACUAGCAUGCAUUGGAAGGGUAACUAGACUUUUGUAUUUUCACAAGCGGUACUAGUGCCUUGUUUAUAAUGUUGAUCUCGCGGGGUGUUUUGGUUUUGUAAAUGUCUAGUUACUGAUGGUACUAAGGAUGGUGUAUAUUGGCAACUCCAAUUGGUAUCACGCUUCAAAGGUCCAUUCUUUACACCUUAGCAUCAUUUGAUAGAAAUUGACUCCUAUCUUCUCUAUUCAAGCAUAUGUGCAAGCUUUCAAAAUCCAAACUCUUAGCACAUAUGUAGGAGGAGCAGUUGCUACCAGUUUGAGUUUAUGAAACUUGUCCAUAUCCUUUACACAUGGUAAAAAUGCUUGGGCAAGCAAUAUGAAUCCAAGAAAAUUUUAUUGAAAUUUUUUGUAAAUGGGUUGUCAUCAAUUACCAAAAAGGGGGAGAUUGAAAGCCCAAGUUUGGUUUUGGAUUAUUGAUGAAACCCAAGUACUAACCUUCCUGUUAAGUGUGUGAAUUAGAUAAGGUUGGUAUAUGCCAAGUGAUGGAGCAAGAGAGGAUCAUGAUGAUGGUGGUGAUGAUAACAAGAUGAUCAAGUGCUCAACUUAGAAAAGAAGAAAGAGGAAAAACAAAACCCUAUGAAGAUCAAGGCAAAGGUAUUGCUUAGGGUUUUGGUUUUGGUGAUCAAGACAUCAUAGAGGGCCACGUUUAGGAUAGAAAGCCGUACUAUAAAGAGGGAAAUUCUUUGACUAAGUGGUCUAUUGGGUGUCACUAGUUGUUGUUAAUCAUGUGCUUGCAUUUAGAACCUAGUGUGCUGGUUUAACCCUUAAAAAUUUCUGUGAAAAUAUGCUAACACAUGUGCAUAAGGUGGUACACUUGGUGGUUAGCACUUUUGACAAAGGGUCAAAGAGGUGGAGAGGGGUUUGGGUUCCUCUCUCCCAGGAAAAUGAAAUGCAUAUUUUUUAUUGCGCUGGUGGAAUAUUUGGAUGCCAUACUCCUAGGAAAAGCUCGAACAACCUUUAACAAAAGAGUACUUGUAUUUGGAACCAAUAUAGGUGGGUAGGUAGAGAAUACCUUGUGGCACAAGACAACUCUCUCUAUGGAACUCAGCAAAAUAGCCUCGUAAGUUUGGGAGAAAGGAUGCCUCCUCGCAAAAGAAGGUCAUAGUGACCAGGCCCAAGUGACUGUUUACCAAAAACACAGGUCUUCGCAAAGUCGUAAGACCAUGUAUGGAGGCUGAUGCCUGCUUAGUGCUGGAAGGUCAAAGAAGUUGGUGACGAACGCUGGCCCCGGGAGCAUUGGAUGUUGGGCCAGUGUCUGACGGGUGCUAGUGUUUUGCCUUAAAGAACAGUGGUGCACUGGCAUGUCCGAGCUCAGGCACUGGAUGCGGUCAGAACACUGUUUGAGCGUCCGAUGUAGGUGACGUCAGCACUGUCGCAAGCAUUGUUUCAGGAUGUGUGCGUCAGACGCUAAGGUGCGUCCAAUGCUGCACCAUUGAACGCGUCCGAUGCGUCCCCGAUGGUUUCUGAACCUUACGGAGUAGCAUCUGGUGGCAGGGUGGCGCGUCCGGUGCAUAGCACCUGAUGCGUCCGACGCUCAUUGACUGAGUACUUUAAACAUUUAGGUGGCCGUUGGCGAUCAAUGGAUCACAUUUAACUAAGGACACAUGGCAGCGAUCCAACAGCGCUGUUAGGGCACUUUUGGACGCUGGGGUAGCGUCUGAUGCUCCUGACAGUGGCUAUUUCCACAGGGUAAUGACUCUAUUUGUUGGGACCUCUAUAAAUAGUGUUUGGCUGGCUUAGGUCUCACUCUCUUGGCACUUUGAUAUACUUGACAUCCUUAUAAGCCUAAGCAAACACCUCCUACUCAUCUUCAUCAUUGAGUCAUCAUUAUAGUGAGAUUAGGAGUGAUUCCAAGUGCAUUUGCAUAAGUGAUUGCAUCUAGUGGCACUUGGGGAUCAUUGUGGCUACAGAUUUCUUGUUACUCUUGGUGGUUGCUUCCACCUAAACGGUUCGGUGGAGGAUCAUUGGCAUGAGUUCGUGAUUCCUUAUGGCCAUCUCUCGGUGAUUGUGAGAGGUGUUGUGUCUUUCUUGGUGGAGAGCCAAAGGCAACUCUAGAGGAUUGUGCAUGUCAUUGAGCUACCUUACUUGUGGGUAGGUUCUUGCAGUGUCCUAAUGAGGACAAGGUUCAUGCUACACCUCUUAGCCGCUGAACCACAAAGUGUUGGUCGACACAAUGGGGACUAGCGUGCCAAAAAACACGUGAUGAUCUCGAGAGAAAAAAUGGUGUCUCAAUUGUAAUUGAUUGUCAUUCUUCCGGUGAUUGAUUGUUCAUAUUUUGGUGAUUGGUUCAUCCCCUACGGGCGGUAUAAAGAGAUCACAUUUUCUCUAUUUACAUUCUCACAAAGUAGUGUAAUUAUCUUUAGUAGCUAGCUUUGCCUUGUAUAACUUAGUUCACUAGUGUAGCUUGUAGUGACAUAGCUCUUGUGUGCUUAGUGACUUUACUAACUAGAAUUAUUGGGAUAGGUGGCUUGCAAACCCUCAAUUAGAGUUAGAGAAAAAAAAGCUUUGCUUUGUUAUUUACUAACUCCUUGCUCUAGUGAGUUUGUAGAACUUUUAAAUAGGCUAUUCACCCCCAUCUAGCCAUAUUAGGACGACCUUUCAGUUGUGGACGUGUAGGAGACUAGCAAGGACGUCCAACACAAGCGGAAGGCUCGACUUUGUGUUCGCCUCAGCCUUCAGGAGCAGUCUGCAUUAAAAUAGAUGCACAAGAUGCACCUAGACUCUAUUUUCGAUGAUCCACAUAUAGAUGAUAGAUAAUUUCAUUAGCUAACCAAUGACUUUGGUUUGAGGGCCAAAUUCCUCCAGAGUUGCUGGGAAUCGUCGAAGUAAGUCAGCAUCUAGAACCUAUCAAGUGCCACGCCACCACUUUUUGUGCGUUGGGCCGUGUAUUGUUGUUGAGCCCAUUAGGGGGCACGUCCAAGGGUAGUGACGACCUUAAGACCUUUAUAACCAAUCGUCGCCGCUAUUAUUAGGUUUUGGGUUUUUCUUAGAAGAUUUUGUCCUUGACAUUUGCCGUCUUUUGGUUUGUGAAACCCCAACUUGUGUGCUUGAUCAUACAUCUACAUUUUGUCCCAAAUUGUUGAGCUGCAUAGUUUCGAGUUCUUGCUUGUGUUCUCUAUUUUGUAUGUAGAGGGAUUAGUCUUCUUGACGAGGUCAACCAUAGUUGAUAACUAGAGGAGUCAUGAUGCUAAGAUUGCGGGGUUGAGUCUUUGGAUCUGAAGCUAGAGCAGUGUCGUGCUCCACCAAAACGAUAAGUAUCAUUCCCUGAUAGAAGAACGGUAUCCCUGUUCCCAUUAAUCAACCCUUGCUACAUGUACUGGGCAUUUGUUACAUAUGUGGUGAGCUACCGAGGGCAUCAGCUAUUAAUGGGGGGAGGGGGUGGUGUGAAUGUGUAACACCCCUGUCCAUUAGAUGCCUAUAAUAGUUACUUUCGAAGUUUAGGAGGUGAGGCCCGUUCUAUGUGAGGAGUUAUACCAUAUAAGCAGGUUUGAACAUGAGGUGUUACACACGCGUUCUAGCAUUGCGGUGGGUGGUCAUUUUUUUUUGCGCUAAAAUACCUAUUGGUGACUCUGCGGGGGACAAAAGUGUUUUAGUUUCGAUGGCCAAAAUCAUCUCAAACAAUAUACUGUCCCAUGAAAAAAUCACCUGAAAAAACUAGAGUACAUGCAAGAAUUUCUGCAAGCAACCUAGAGAUUAUAUCUGUCCUGUUUUCAUGAAAUUGAGCAAGGCGUCGUUGAUGUAAAGGAGUGGUAGAAACCUAGCUGAAUUGACAUGUAAAGGGAGAUGCAAUCUUCAGAUACUCUAUGCGGUCCUUUAUCCAAUCUCGUCGAUAUACUAUGUUUAAAUCAUCAGAUAAAGAUAAUUGGUAAAAAGGAUAGUAUAGAUCUAGUUCCUAAUACAUCCAAUAUUCGGCCAUUGAAAAUAGUAAUUCUAAAUCAGCAAAUGAGCCGUUGUUAGAUCACCUGACCGUUGUUAGACUCAAAUCGGUCUAUUAAAACAAAGCCUUCAUCAAAACAAAAAGGCUACGAUUGUUGUUUGGAAAACCAUCAAACUAAAGGGCAUAACAAGCAUGAAAACAAAAAGGCGUAGCCCUUAAUUUAGUUAAUAAAGAAAUAAAUAACAAGAUAUUUUGUCACAUUUAUUAUAAUCUCACAUUAGUUUGUAAGUGAAAAUUUUCUUAUUUAUCUCCUACAACUAAAAAGACUAGAAGAGGUACAUUAUUUUCGUGCGACAUCUGUUUUCCUCCGUUUGCCUCUCCGGUCUCCGCAGUGCGUCCACAUUCCUCCACCGUGCAUACUUGGAAACAAACACAUCCCCUCCUCGAUCCCCUCCACCUUUCCUAUCUUGUCCGCACGGGCGUCCUGCAAAUGCACGCGCAUCGCCACUUGCCUACGAGCGCACGCGCCUUGCCUCGCCUCGCCCGUUGAGCGCACGCGCCGUCCGCUGUCCCUCCACACGCCUCGGUGGCCGACUGUCCGCCGUCCGCCUCGAGACCGGCCGCCUAGCGCCGUCCGCCGUGAGGCGAGAGCGCUGGUCGUCAUCCGCCGUGAGCCCCAAGCACAGUCGAUCCAUGCCUCAGCGAGAGCGUCGUCCGCCGCAAGACCAUCCUCGAGAGCGCCGUCCUCGAUCUCCGACCGCGACAGCUCCGUCCUUGAGCGCCCUCCGCGACAGAGUCGUCCUCGUUAGUUACCGUCCGCGCGUGCCCCUUCAUACGUCCCUGCCACCGAUGCCAAUGCAAGUGCCAUCGGAAGCGAAGUAGCGGGCGAGGGAUGGUGUGGUGGCCUGGAUCUGCCACCGCACCGCCUAGAUGAAGGGUUUUCAUGCGGAGUUGAAACUCCCUCAAUUAAUUAUCGAAACACCCGCAGAUAAUGAGUUGAAACUCCCACAUAAUUGAGUUGAAACUCCCGUACCAUCAGCCAGCCACUCCAACCCUUGGACUUGCUCCUAUUUGGUACAAUGUAUAUAUUGUCCAUAAUUACACACCAUAGAGUUUAUUGAUUUAUUAAAUCUAAAUGGGUCUAACCCAUAAUAAAUCUAACAAUCCCCACCAAACUCUAAGGUUUGUAAUGAUGAAGCAUCAGAACCACGGUUCUUUGAUAUAUCAGUGUUUCGAUGGAGACUGUUAAGUUGAACAUCCAUCUAGAACAAGAGUUUUACCCACUCACAACUGAACAAUGGACUAUGCCUUGAAUUGACAGUUUUGUGCGAGAUGAGGUCCACUCAAGCCCUUUGCUGAUACUUGGCUGCACAAGGCAUCCCCGCUGUUUGAAGCAUAUAAGUCACACUUCAGUGCCUUUCAUGAUUAUUUAGGGAUUACCCAAGUCCCAUAGACAGUGACCAACAGUCUGACUCAUAUAGGUGUUUUCCUCAAAAGAUGUUCUGUAGGCCAACAUCUCAUCUGUAUAAGACUCUUGGAAUACAUUAAGGUAAAUACCAACCUGCCUUACAGAAGAAAAGUUGUACAUCAGAGAUAGGUUCAAAAGGGAACUUUCCUCUCAAUCUACUCAUAGCUUGUUUCACCACUCUACUUCACGGGAUCUCCGAUCACAUAGAGCAGGUUACCACUACAGUAGAUUAACUUGUGGGUCUCAUACCCAUCUCUCUCGAUGCACUUUCUAUCACAUUACGUGACAGUCCCUUAGUGAAUUGAUCUGCCAGAUUAUUCGACGUAUGGACAUAGCCCACCGUUAUAACUCCGGAGGUUUUCAACUUUCUGACAGAUUUUAAUCAUCUCUUAACAUGCCUUGUAGACUUCAUGUUAUUCCUGGAACUGUUGACUUUAGUAAUCACUGUUUGGUUGUCACAGUUUAUGGAUAUAGCCGGUAUCGGUUUUCCAACUACCGGUAAAUCCAUCAGGAGUUCAUGAAGCCACUCGGCCUCAGCCCCAGCAGUGUCUAACGCUAUGAGUUCUGCUUCCAUUGUAGACUUCGUUAAGAUAGUCUGCUUGCAAGACUUCUAGGAAACAGCACCACCUCCAAGCAGGAACACAUAUCCGCUCGUGGCAUAAAGCUCAUCAGCAUCAGAGAUCCAGUUGGCAUCACAAUAGCCUUCCAACACUCUAGGGUUUCCGGUAUAGUGAAUACCGUAGGACAUAGUCCCUUUCAGGUAGCGCAACACUCUCUCAAGAGCACGCCAGUGAUCAUCGCCCGGUUUUGACACAAACCGACUCAGCUUGCUCACUGCAUAUGAAAUAUCAGGUCUCGUUGCACUUGCAAGGUACAUAAGUGAGCCAAUGAUCUGGGAGUAUGUUAAUUGAUCCCUUGCUAUUCUUCGAUUUUUCCUCAAUAGCACACUAGGGUCAUAAGGCGUGGGAGCAGGAUCAUAGUCACUAAACCCAAAGCGACUUAAUACCUUUUCCACAUAAUGGGAUUGUAACAAAGUUACCCCACCAUCACCUUCUCUGAUAAGCUUGAUGUUAAGAAUGACAUCAGCUUCUCCCAAAUCUUUCAUAUCAAAAUUACUCGAUAGAAGUUUCUUUACUUCCUCAAUCACAUUGAGAUUAGAUCCAAAGAUCAAAAUGUCAUCAACAUAAAGGCAUAGCAUAACAGCCUCACCCCCACCAUAUCGAUAAUACACACAAGUGUCAGCUUCAUUCACAACAAAGCCAGCAGCUAUAAGUGUACUAUCAAACUUUUCAUGCCAUUGCUUAGGUGCUUGCUUUAGGCCAUAUAAUGACUUUAACAGCCUACACACCUUGCUUUCUUGACCAUCCGCAAUGAACCCUUCUGGCUGAUCCAUAUAGAUCUCCUCAUCUAACUCUCCAUUAAGGAAAGCCGUCUUAACAUCCAUCUGAUGAAUGAUAAGACCGUAUGAAGUUGCCACGGCAAUCAAAGUGCGAAUUGUAGUCAAUCGAGCGACUGGUGAAUAGGUGUCAAAGAAAUCUUCCCCCUCUUUCUGGGUAUAUCCUUUGGCCACUAGCCUUGCCUUGUACCUCUCAAUUGUACCAUCAGGCCUAAGCUUUUUCUUAAAGAUCCAUUUGCAGCCUAUAGGUUGACAGCCAUAGGGACGGUCAACGACCUCCCAUGUUCCGUUGGACAUAAUAGAUUCCAUCUCACUCCUUACUACCUCCUUCCAUAAGUCGGUAUCAGGAGAGGAAUAUGCCUCAACAAUAGUAGUUGGCGUGUCUUCCACAAGGUACACUAUAAAGUCAUCACCAAAGGAUUUUGCAAUCCUCUGUCUCUUGCUCUUUCGAGUGACUAUAGUGUCAUCCUCCUCAGGGAUGUGCAUGUGAGUCUCCUCAGCAUGAUCUAUAGGAAUAGACAAUUCUUGCUCAUGGGGUAUUAUAGUCUCAUGACUUAUUUUACUAGGUGUAUUUUUCAUGGGAAACUCAUUCUCAAAAAAUGUAGUGUCUCUCGAUUCCAUGAUAGUAUCAACAUACAUAUCAGGCACAUCAGAUUUUAUAAUUAAGAACCUAUAUCCAACGCUGUGGAAAGCAUAACCAAGGAAAAUGCAAUCAACAGUUUUAGGUCCUAAUUUACGCUUCUUGUUGAUUGGCACAUUCACCUUUGCCAAACAACCCCAAGUGCGUAAAUAUGAAAGAUUUAUUCUCUUCUUUUCCCAUUCCUCGAAUGGAGUGAUCUCUUUGUUUUUAGUAGGAACCCUGUUUAGGACAUGACACGCGGUCAAAAUUGCCUCACCCCACCAUUCCUUGGAUAAUCCCGCUGUAUUUAACAUGGCAUUCACCAACUCUGUUAAAGUGCGGUUUUUCCUUUCAGCAAUCCCAUUGGAUUGUGGUGAAAAUGGCAAUGUCCUCUCAUGAAUAAUACCGUCUUCCACACAAAAUUCAUCAAAAUCAUUUGAGAAAUAUUCUCCACCUCUAUCAGACCUUAAAUGUUUUAUUUUCCUCUCUAGUUGGUUUUCAACUUCAGCUUUAUAGGUCUUAAAAUAAUGGAGCGCUUCAUCCUUUGUUUUUAAGAGAUACACAUAGCAAAAUCUAGUGGAGUCAUCUAUAAAUGUGAUAAAAUAUCUUUUACCGUCUUUAGUCAAAAUACCAUUCAUUUCGCACAAAUUGAAAUGAAUAAGUUCUAGAGGUGCCAAGUUCCUCGCCUCAGCAGCCUUAUGAGGCUUGCGGGGUUGUUUUGAUUCAACGCAUACAUGACACUUAGAUUUAUUGACCAAGUUAAAUUUAGGAAUUAAAUUCAGAUUUGCUAACCGCAUAAGACAACCAUAACUUGCAUGACAAAACCGUGAAUGCCAUAAAUCCGACUCAUCAGAAAUAUCAACAGAAUUCACUAGUUUAUUACACACAUCAUGUAGAGAUAAGCGGAACAAACCUCCGCAAUCAUAUCCUUUACCAACAAAGGAUCCAUGUUUCGACACAACACAUUUGUUCGAUUCAAGGACAACUCUAUAACCAUCUCGACAUAGCAUAGAAGCACUAACAAGAUUUUUCUUGAUAGAGGGCACAUGCUGCACGCUCUUCAAUGGCACCGUCAUCCCCGAAGUAAACUUCAGAAUGACCGUACCAACACCAAGAACAUGAGCACGCGACCCAUUUCCCAUCAACAAGGCGCCAGACCUCCCGACCUGGUAAGUGGCAAACAAGGAAACAUCAGCACACACAUGUAUAUUUGCAACACUAUCCAUCCACCACUCAGGUGAAUUACAAACUGAAAGAACAUAUGACAAAGAAUUACCAUACCCAGAUAUUCCUACAGUCUCAGUGGUUACAACAUUAGCUGAUUUCUUCCCUUGGAAGAACUUGCGAUCUGGGCACUCACUUGCCCAGUGUUCCUCACUACCACAAACAAAGCAGCCUCCCUUCUUCUUGUUAUUGUUGGUAGUUUUCUUGAAUUGAGUGGACUGAUUGGGCUUAUGGUUGUUCUCUUUCUUUUCCUGGUUUUUCUUUUUGUUAAACUUGUGGAAGUUUUUCUGCACCACAUUGGCAGUAGAAGGCUCAACACCUUUCCCAUUAUCCUUUGCUCUCGCCCUCUCCUCAACAUCAAGAGUACCAAUGAGUUCCUCAACAUUGAACUCUUGCCUCUUGUGUUUGAGAGAAGUAGCAAAUUUCUUCCAAGAAGAUGGUACUUUGGCGAUAAUACCGCCAGCCACAAACUUGUCAGGGAGGGGACAAGGGAAAAGUUCAAGUUCUUUAGCCAGUGCUUGAAUCUCAUGAGCUUGUUCCACUACAGAACGGUUCUCAACCAUCUUGUAGUCAUACAACUGCUCCAUAAGAUAUAGCUCAGUACCAGCGUCAGUAACUCCAAACUUAGCCACAAGAGCAUCCCAUAACUCUUUCCCGCUAGGAAGAAUUAUGUAGCUUUUCUGGAAUUUUGGAUCAAGUGCGCUAAUCACUACACCUCGAAAGAGGUUGUCAUCAGCCUUAAACUUAGCCUCAUCCUCAGGAGACAAGUUAGCAGGCUUGCCCUCAGCGGCAUGAUAACAUGACAUAGCAGUUAGCCACAAUUCCAUCUUAGCUUUCCAGAUCAAGAAGUUUUACCAUCAAAAGUAUCAGGUUUCAACACGGCAGCAAAACCUCUGACAGAAAAAUGCCUAUAAUUAGGUUUUUGGCUUGUUAGGAUAUUAGGCAAUUUCCAUGUCAUUUUAAUUCCAUAAAUUAACAGUAUGAUGAUGACAUAUAUGAUAUUAUUGAUAAAUAUAAACAUGGCAUGAAUCAUAAUUACGACAUGUAAAUAUGAUCCAUAAAGCAUAUCAAACAUCAAAACAUGGCAUGGUAUAUAACUUUCUGUAACAGUACCAAACAUAAUAUAGCUAUCGAAACAGAUAAACAGAUGUACUGAAACAGACAAGCAGAUACUAGCGAAACAAUGGAACUGUAGAACAGAGGCAUACACGCAGAACUUAAACAUAGCAGGAACAGACAACAGAUAUUUUGUGAAAUGAUGAAACAAACCUACUGAAACAGAUAUGACACAACUACUGAACCUGCACGACAGAGCUACUGAAACAAACAGAGACAGAGCGACGUAAAACUGAGGGAGGACGAACAGAUCAUACCCUAAGACUCGCGCAUUCAGAUUUCCAGAGCUUUGUCCUUCCUCGAUCGUCAUGGAGUAGAGACGAAGGUGAAGACGACGAACCAAUCACCGGGAAGGAGAAGACGGCGACCGACAACACCAAGAGACCUCCGGGAAGAAGAUGAACAGCAGCAAUGGAGUUGCGCAGUCGCAUAGACGCUUCCCAAAAACCUAAUUGCCGAUCCCCCGUGCAAGGUCUCGAACGGCAAGGGAUCCGGAGGCACCUGCCCUCUCGCUCCUCCGUGCGCGCGAAGUUACGAGAUGGAGAUUCCUACUUUGCAACGGAACUGUGAUCUGUGUGUUCUCUCUUUUUGUACCAAGGAGAUGAGUCUCCUAUUUAUCCUUGUGGCUGGAGAGGAGAGGAGGGGAAGGGACUCCCCUCCUGGCGGCUGAGGAGACGGGCAUUUGAAGGGUUUUCACGCGGAGUUGAAACUCCCUCAAUUAAUUAUCGAAACACCCGCAGAUAAUGAGUUGAAACUCCCACAUAAUUGAGUUGAAACUCCCGUACCAUCAGCCACUCCAACCCUUGGACUUGCUCCUAUUUGGUACAAUGUAUAUAUUGUCCAUAAUUACACACCAUAGAGUUUAUUGAUUUAUUAAAUCUAAAUGGGUCUAACCCAUAAUAAAUCUAACAGCUAUUGUAUUUACAUAAAUGUUACCUAUACAUUUGGGAUUUUGGUUCUAGGCUAGAAGAUUCCAGCCAGCAUGCAAAUUGUAACUUGAUAGUGAUGCUGAUUGGAAACAAAUUAAAUGUGAUCUUUCUCAUAGAGGUGUUGUCAGCUAUGAGGAAUGAGAACAGGGAGCAUGGUCUUGUCUUUAUUGAGGCAUCUGCUAAAACUUCACAAAACAUCGAGGAGGUGAUUUUUUAGCCAACUAAUUUUACUACCAUCCCUGACUUGAAUUAUAGAUUUGUUUUAUCUGGUUGCUUGCUUGCAAAGGUUGAAUCUUGUUUGCAUCCCCAUGGUUUGCUCAAUAGUCAGUAUUGAAGAAAAUUAUAGAUUUAGUAAAACCCAUAUCAUAUUGGGUUGUGCUAUAUCGUUAGGGUUGCUAAAUUAUACUUCUAUAGUGGAUUUUUCACUUGUUUCAGGCAAUAUUGGCAAACUCUUCCAUUUUGUGUUCUCGAUUUAGUCUUACCAGGCGCUAUUGCAUAUCCGGUUAUAGCCCACUGUAAUACAUCUGAUUCUUAAAAUGCGAUCUAAAAAUUUAGAAGUUAAUUUUCAGUAACUUAUAAGGGGCAUUACCUUCAAAGUUCAACAAUGAUGUACUGCUUUAUUUGAACAUCAUAAAAUAUAUUGUCUUCAAAGUUCAAAAUUAACUUUUUUUAUGUUUAUCAGGUCAAUGAUAGUGGGCACUUCUAUGGCAUGGUUGAGAUGGUUGGAACUAUUGAUUUUCAAAAGGACAUGGACUUCUGGUGUGAGGAUAAAUAUCACACUGCAGAAUAAUUAAAAGAAGCCUGUCACACAAUAGAGAUAUACAAGAAGUAAGUGUGGCAUAUCCUGUUUUGCAUCGAACUUGUUUUAGUAUUGUUAAAUUGUUAGAUUUCAAGAAGUAGUUUUUUAUUUCUCUCCAGCAUUUCUGUAUUUUAGGAGACUAUUAAAUUAUUUGUUUGGGUGGCAUAAACAAAGAUAUUUUUUAGUCCAUAGAAAAGUUUUGGAUUUAUGGGAAAAAAACAUAUUCGGUAACUUUAAAAGCCAUUGACAUGUUGCAAGGUUUUCUUUAGCCUCAGCGGCCCAUGCUGUCCAAAAUCAAGAACUGGGAGCAACUAUUCCAUAUCAGAUAUCUGCAACAGUAGAGAAUAUUGUACUUGAUGUUUGAAUCUCUAAUACCAAUGGUAGAGAGGAUCUUGCUAACUGGUGCAUCUCAAGUCCACUAGACAUCUAGAAAAAGCAUGAGCUAAUUGGAAGCUCUAAGGCCACCAUCUGAAGAUGGUAGAGCUUGAAAACCUGAAGUCCACUAGACAUCCAGAUAAAGCACCAACUAAUUAGAAGCUCUAAGGCCACCAUCUGAGAGAUAGUCAAGCUUGAAAACCUGAAGCCUUCUUGCUGCCUAGGCAUGUGCUCCUCUCUGGAGAUGUAUUUCUCUAUGCAUAUCUUUCUGGCUACUGGAUUAUUGUUGAAGGUGUAGUACUGGAGUAGUUUUGUUUUGGGGUCACUUUUCUAUUGCUGGGCGCAACACUAGAGUGGUUUUUACUAAAGUAGUUAAUUGUGUUUAGUAGUAAAAUUGUUGCUAGGACUUGCAAUAUCUUCUUUGAGCCUUCUCAGUGUUGGAUUGCAGAGCUGGUCUGUGUGACCGGGUGCAAGCAAGGCUUGCUGAUGUUUGAUGUUGAAAAUUAUUUAAAUUGCUUUUUGCAUGAAUUAUAAAUAUUAUCUCAAUCUAUGUUUAAUUACUAAAAGAUAUUUGUUGGUUGUUUGAUUUGCAUUGUAGAUGUUGUCGUAGCGUUAGCACGGGUCACAAGUAUUUGAUCUCUGAAACUAUUGCCUUUCAGACUGCAAAUGGAAGGCACAUGUAGUGAGGUCCUGGGAUCAUGCGACUGGGAGUUCAUAUAGCUUAAGGAUUUUGUGCUAAUAAUAUGAUGCAUUUUACUUUUGAGCAAUUAAUAAGAUGCACAAGACAUGUCUUCAAUUUAUCUAUAAGCAUUUCUUCAUCACAUUAACUGCUAAGUUUGCCUUUACAAGUUGCGGAUUCAUUUGGUCCCCAGCAUCAACUUUGAUUUUUAGAGAUACAUCAAAUGUUUUUCCUACAUAUUAAAUCCAUAAAUAAUUUAAAUUAGCUUUUAUGCAUCAGCUGAAAACAAAGGAUAUUGAAGAUCACCUCCUAUUUGCAAUGUAGCAUUGGGUUGCAAACAACGCUCCUGGAUGAAGCUUUUGUUGCAUCAAACUAUUUCAGAACUCAACAAAAACUUGAGUUGUGGUACAGAACUCAAUGUAAACUUGAGUUGUUGUAUAGUCUGGCAACAAAUGUAGAGGACGCCGGAUGGUUGAUUGGGUGGAAAGCAUGUAGAAGCAGUGGCGCUUUGAUGAAGGGAUAGGAGGUGCCACAGGUUGAGCGGCACUGUAAAUAGUAUGCGUUCAGCCUUGUCAUGGCGUUGAGACUAGAACUUAACUAUCAUCGAGAGCAGGUGUUUUGGUAGGUACAGAAGGUUGCUUUGUGAUGUUAGAAAAGACUAUGAGGUGACAAUCAUCAUUAUUGUUAUGGACUGUUGACCAAUAAUAAAAACAUCAAAAUUUUAGUUCUUCUUGUAACAUGCACAAAAAUUUGCAGUGCAAAAAUGAGAUGAACGUUGCAUUCAGGAAACCAAACAAUACAAAUGAAAUAGGGAUGCAAAUCGAGAAAUGCAUUGGGUGGUCUAAACCCGAAACAACGCCCCAAGUGGCACACCACAUACAAAGCCACUAGCACAAAUUAAGGGUCAAGUAUUAUUUGUUCCCAUUACAAUGCACAGAAAGGUCUAUACACUAGAGUUGGUGAGCUUGCGACGCCAUACUCUUUGUGGCCGUGUUAAUUUUAUGAACUUUAUUUUUUGAUUAAAUAUCACUUUACACAUGAUAUUUAAUUUCACUGCAUUGUUAUUUUAUUAUACGAUCCGUGUGUUUUUUAAUAUAAAAAUUUAGUUGUCCCGUAGCAAGCACGGGCACGCUACAGUAUACAUAUGUUUUAAAUAUUUCUAUAUAUUGCUGAUCGUGAAUCUUGAUACGGAUACUUAAGUGGAUUUUUCAUCCUACAAUAUAUGUCUACAUGGAAUAGGAUACAAGCCACACAUAUUUAUACUGUGAGUAUAACACUUUGUCUAAGUUUUUUUGAAAGUUUUUUUCACAAAAACGUAGUAUUACCCAUGCAACACACAAUAAAAUUUAAAUAUAUAUACUCAAAUGUAUGACAGGAUGAUACGGAGAUGCGGCGGAACUUAUUUGUGGAUUUACUAGCGCACAAAAGAAAUGAAUAUCGAAGAUUUCUUCCCUGCCGAUACUAAACAUUAUCUUGGUCGUAUCACGGAAAGGUCUACAAAGUAGAAUUUGUGAGUCUAUAACGCCGUGCUCUCCGUAACAGUAUUUGAUUUCAUAAACUUUGCUUCUUUAAGAUAAAUGUCACUUUAUAAUUGGUAUUUAAGUUUUAUUAUAAUAUUAUUAUUUUAUUGUGCGAUACGUGUGUUUUAAAUAAAAAAUAUUAAUCAUCCCGUAGCAACGCACGGGCACACUAUCUAGUGAAAAUAUAAAAAUAUAUUUCUCAUGUUACCUCUUACUCUCAUUCCAAAUUGUAAGUCAUUUUGACAAUGCUACAGUAGCAAAAUCCAAAAACUUUUUGAAUCUAAACUAGGCCUUAGUUGUUUUCAGAUCUGAUCUGAACUUCUAAGAGCAACUUCAGCCCACCUUUUAAAGAAGUCUCUAUUCUAAAUCUAAAGAUUUGAUCUAAAAAGAUCAACUUCAACCCACCUCCUACUUGGGCUCCUAUUUUCCAUGCCCUCCCAAAUUAUAGUUUCAGCUCCUCACAUCCAAAACCCCCCUAUCUAGUGGGUCCCACCCAUCUUCCUCUCCCCACCAGGGCCGUCCCAGCGAAACUGGAGGCCUUGUACGAAACUAAAAAAAUGAGGCCUAUAAUAUCUUGGAUCAAAUAUAUUAGACUGAAAAAAAAUACCAGCAUUCGAAGAAGGAUUAAGUCCUCACUGUUAUUAUAUAUCUGAGUAUUUGUGUUGUCGACGAUUGCCAACUGAAAAUGAAUUACGUCUAGUCUAGCGGUCGGCCAACAAGAUAUUUUUUAUUGGGCUAUUGUUGUGCACACCGCUUUGCUAAAGGGCCAAAGGCCGAAGCAGUACAUGCUUGUCUAGAAUACAUAUAUAGUAUAUAUACUCUAUAUUUGGAGGCCCCUGAGAAUUGGAGGCCCUGUACGGUCGAUCAUCCCGCAUAUGUCCAGGGACGGCCCUGUCCCCACCUAUAAAUUAAGACAAAAAUUACAAAUGGUGGAGUUGAUGUAGGAUUUGUCAAUGACAGGUGGGUCUCAUGUGAGAUAAGGACUUAGUCUCUUUUUUCAUUAGAGUUGGGUCUUAAUUUGAGCUCCUACAUUUUUUAUUAUAGCCCGUAAAUAAAAGUUUAAGGGCUUACUUUAGGGACUUACGCUGGAGUUGCUCUAAUAAGAUCUUAUGGAAAACUUAAAUUUGCAUCUUGGAAAGAUUUUCUAUUAGGAUAAGACAACCUACUCUCUAUAUAUAUAUAUUAAAAGAUCAUGGCUGAUUGAGGUGUCCAAUAUAUGAUCGACCUUUUAUCAAUUUAUCUUUACCUUUUACCUCCAAACACUAUCUCUUUCAUGUGUGCGUAAAACUUUUUCAUUUCAAAUCUUUAGGGAUAAUAUUCAUUUUAAGAUUAUAAAAUAUUGAUACAAAAGAUGCAUAUUCUAUAUAAUGAAUAAUGUGUUUUUAAUCCAUUGCUGUAUGUUUCGAAGGUCUUGGCUUGAACAGAGAUGAGCAUGGCGGGCAUCUAAACGUGUCCCCCUUUCACUGGUACAGAGGCUGCAAACCUAUUUCUACUGGCGUUUUCAGCACCGCCUGUGGAGGCCAAUAGAAAUGGGCCAAUUCUACAGGCGGUAACUAAGAACCGCCUGUAGAAAUGAUAGGCGGUUCAGUUAUGUGGACCGCCUGUAGAAAUGUUUUUACAGAAAAUACAAAAUCGACUUUUAAAAAUAGAAAAAAAAAGAUUUUAAUUAUAAGAAAGGCCAAUUGGCAAGUCGCGCUUUUUUUCGCGUAAAAUCACGUGCUUCAUGGCCGGUGGGAUUCGAACCUGAGACCUUACCCUUGCACAUAGCCUCCUCUACCACUCCACCUAUCACUCACUUGUGUCUAUAUUAGAGUUUAGUUCCCCACAUAUUAUCUCAAACUGAGUAUAUAUUAAUUAUUUGAGGCCCUAAACCUAUUCCAAUGGAAAAGUUGUCAACUACAAAGUUUCAUAACUUUUUAACAUCUACAACUUUUAUAUUGGAAGUUUUUCCAUCCGAGAUCAUUUACAAAAUUUGAAUUUUAAAUUUAAGAAAUUCAAACGUAGUUUUCGACGACAAGAUGAUGUCAAAUGAAAAAAUUAUCAACUACAAAGUUUCAUAACUUUUCGAGAUCUACAACUUUCAUUUUGACAGUUUUUUCAAACAAGGUCAUUUGAAAAACUCAAAAAAUUUAAUUUCAAAUUAUUUCUACAGGCGGCUUUUUUAAGAAACCGGCUGUAGAAAUAUGAUUUUUAGUGGCGGUUCCUUAGGACAACCGCCUGUAGAAAUGCAUGAUUUCUACAGGCGGUUCAGUUAAAUGCAUCUUCAUAGACGGUUCAUAGUUCUGACAUCGCCCUUUUUACACCACAGGCGCGUGAUAACUACAACCGCCUGUAGUAUAAAAAGAGGACGUCGGUGUUGUACUCUUUUCUACUAGUGUUUGUUAAACGAUUUGACAGUGACCAUUUGGUGGGAACGGCCGCAUUGCCCGCCUCUGGAAAUAAAUUUUGAGAAGCUCGCUAGAAGUGGUUGUACUACUCAUCUAUGAAAAUGGAUUUUGACCACCUCUAGAAGUCCUUUUUUAGUGUUGCACCUGCAACGGCAUCAUUUUCGUGUGGUGUGAUGCCCCUGCACAAUUCUUGCCUUCUUUUUUUUCUAGAAUACGACUUCAUGCAUAUUUUAUUAAGAAGGGAGAGGUACCGAACGGCAGACACAACGCAACUCACAACCAGAAUUUUCAAUUUCUCCUAAUAAUGUGGGGUUCUUCUAGUGUUUUAGUAUUUAAAAUUUAGUAUAAACUUUCCUUAGUAAAUGUCUUCUAGUGAGGAUUCUCUAGUGUUUGACUAGUGGUAGGGUUUUAUUACAAACUAAAAACACUAAGAGAACCCCACCAUUUUGGUAGUGACUAUGGGAAAGCCCUAUAGCACUGGUUAAAAAACCACAAAGGGAGUGGUUAGGAACUUAGACCACAAAUUACAGAAAGAAAGGUGAAAGGGAGAGGUCCUCGGACCUAAACAAAACCUGCAAAGAAAAAUACAUCAACGCAAAGCUAUCAGAAAAAGAGAUGGAGCCACGGUGGCCAAGCACGAGGCCCAUCCGACUCUGCGAGGUCGCCGGACUGGGACGUCGUCUCUUGUUGCCGUGCUGUGGAAUCGGAUUGCACACAGUUUGAAUUUGAACCUGAGAUCUGACAGUGCCCAACGCCUACGUCGGUGACCCAGCGAGAAACGAACUCUCCAAUUAACCCAGCGAGGGAAGCUGCUGCAGGGUCUGCAAGAGAGCGCCUCGGAUGACGGCUACGGCCAGCCAUAACCGCACAAUCCCCAAGUGUCAUCGUCGGCGAUACCCUUGGUCGCGAUUGCUUCCUAGUCCAUGGCUUCACCGUCGUGCGCCACCUAUCCGUCAACGCUUUCAAGAUUUUCUGAACCAUUACAGCCUUUGUGUCCAUGGAACCCGGUGUGGGAUGUUCCUCCUAAUCGGCGACAAACCGACAAGUCCAUCUUGGCUUCAUACAAAUAUGCCCUAGAAAACACUACGAGAAAUAGGGGUUUAUACCCCUACACAAAGCCUUUACCGAGUGCUGUACUCGGCAAAGGACCCUCGGUAAAUUUUUCAUCGGUAAAGGGUUCUUUGUCACGUGCCUUUUAUCAGGCUUUUUGCCGAGUGUCUCCGGAGCCUUCGGCAAAGAAAAGUUACCGUGACGGCGAUUUUGUAAAUGACUUUGCCGAGUGUCUCCGGGAGCCCUUGACAAAGAAAAGUUUGGAGGGUAAAAAAAUCUUUGCCGAGUGUCAAAUUUCGCACUCGGCAAAGAGCCUCUUUGCCGAGUGUCGACCCGUGGCACUCGCAAGGCUGACGGUGUACCACCGUUACCCAUUGCCGAGUGUCAACCUGUGCCGAGUGCCAAACACUCGACAAAGAGGCUCUUUGCCGAGUGUCGUGCUUUGUCGAGUGCGGCACUUGGCAAAGAGGCUCUUUACCUCGGCAAAGCAUAUGACACUCGACAAAGUUUCGGUUUCCUAUAGCAAAAGCCAUGGACCGCAACAUGGCAAACUAGGUCCGGCUUUAAUGGUGAAUGGGACGUGACCUCCUCAUCGGAGUCAUCAUCGUCUGAGAACUUUGAUCUUGUUCCCAAGGGACCGAGGUUCAUUGCAGGAUCGGAUAUAUCCAACGACUACAACCACUGACGAACUUCCAUUCGUCGUUCUCAUCCUCCGCCUCAGUUUCUUCUUCCAUUGCGAACAAUACUUGUUAGUUGAUCUCCUUUCCAGAUGGGCCCAAAGGCCAUCUGGGCCUUGUUCUCGCGCCCAGAUGGCCUUGUUCUCGCGCCCUGAUCGGGGGCGCCCAACCCUACAUGGUUGGUGGGCCCCCGUCGCACAGCGCUAUAAAGGAAUGUGGGGGCUGGAGCUCGAGGUACGAGGUUCACCGCGUAGCCAAACUCCCCACCGACAUCCUAAACCCUAAUCUGAUCCGAGAGGAGCGCUGCCAGCAACGGGAAGCACCACCGAUGGCAGCAACACCACCUCGACGUCCGCGUCGUCAACGAGAAACGUCCCCAACGCGGAUCCGAUGGCUUCACCAGCCAACGACGCCACUGCUAACGCCAGCGGAUCUACGGCGGCUCCGGCUCCAAGCGACGGUCUAGUCUAUUUACCGUUUCCGUUUUGUUUUUACAGUAGAUCUUAUUUAGGGCAUGUUGAUGUACAUAUUAUUAUUGAUUAAAUGUAAAGAAAUGUUCCCGAUCUAUGAACUGCGAUGCGUUACGAAUUUUAACAAUGGUGCCAGAGCCUGGUUGCGAAAUAGAUCUAGAUCGGAAAGAAAAGAAACGAAAGAAAACUCGAUCUUAAUCGAGGAAAACGAAUCAAGAACAAAACCCUAACCCAAAGAAGAAGAAACAAAGAAUCCAACUCGCGUACCGGCCGGGCACCGUCACGGGACCGCUAGACGGCGGCACGCCCAACCCUCGGGUGAACGCGCGCACCGGCCAAGGGCCCGGCAGCGGCGCCGCUUCCUAGUUCCUCUGUCCGCAGCCAUGGAAGGUUUUCUGUGUGCGGUGGAAAGAAAGAGAACAGAAAGAUAAAAAAAAACAUCACGGGCACCAGCGCACAGUCCACUCGACGGCGGCGAGCUCGACCUGGAAGCGAGCUCGCGCGCCGGCGAGGAGACCAGCGGCGGCACCACUCCCUGCAUGGAGCCGACUGUCCGUUGGAUUGAAAUGGAUGGCCAGGAUCAACCGGGCUGUCUUUUGGCCCAGGUGGGAGGCAGGCGCGCGGGCAAAUCCUGGCCCAGGCCCAGGUUGCGGCCUGGUUCGCGGGAAGAGCUUUAGUCGGCUCGGCUUUGGGCCGUUAUCCGCGAAUGGGCCAGAACCGGCCGAAAUGAAAUAAACAAAAAAAAGGGACGGUGAAGGCCGCCCCACCCACCACGCUGCCGCUGGCCUGGACAUGGGUGUGGCCUGCUCGUGCAUGCGAAGCAUGCAGAUAGGCCGCCGAGAGCUGACCUGCCCAAAGAAAACAACAAGAAACAACAAUGAAAAGGGAGGCCGAAACCCACUGGGCAACGCACGCGAGCUAGGCUGCGUCCGUCCAGUUGAUAUUAAAGAACCAGAAUUCAAUUUUUUAUUUUCCUUUUUCAGAAGCUUGAUGAAUUUUAGUAAAUUUUGAAUUUAUCUCUACGCAAAUUUGAACCAACGAGAUAAUUUAUUUAGAGAAUAAAGAAAAGAGUUUCUGGAAAAGGAAAUAGAAUUUAUUUUAUGAAUUUUUCCGCUGCGUACUUCAUGUUAUUUUUCAUUAUUAAAUUCGAACCAACGGGAGAAUUUAAUUUUGAUAAAUUUUGAUGAUAUUGUAAUAUUGUUAUUUUCUGACCAAAGUUGAUAAUAGCAACAUUACAGAAUUAUGCUUUAAUUUUAUUUCUGCCCAACGGUGAUGUAAAAUUAUUGCAUUAAUGAAUAUAUGUACAUUUUAAUUCAAAUAAUAUUUUCUCACCCACUGUGAUGUAAUUUCAGGAGUCAAAAGCAAUGUGAACAUUGCGAACAUCCCGCUCCUCAAUGGCACCAACCAUCGUGUGUGGCGGGAGAAAUAUGAAUUGGAGCUUGCGUUGAAUGAGAUUGACUAUGCCAUUACCUCACCGUGUCCCAUUGUUCCAGAGGAACCGGUGAGGCAUGAAAAUGAAUCUGAUGCUGAUUUCGCUGCUCGAAAGCGUGAUCAUGCAGAUAUACGAAUGAAAUAUGAUAUUGAUCAUAGGCGUUGGGUUCAGUCCAACCGCAAGUGUCUGCUGGUGGCAAGAGCCACUAUAGAAGAAUCAAUAAGGGGCUCGAUCCCUGAAUGUGUGACCGCCAAAGAAUACCUUGAACAUGUGAAGAAUCAGUUUACUGGGUCUACCAAGACCAAAGCUAGUUCGCUGAUCAAGCAACUAGUCACUGAAAAAUACACUGGCAGUGGCAUAAGAGAGCACAUCCUGAAAAUGAAUGCCACGGCAUCUAAGCUUAAGGAAAUGAACUUGAAGGAGGAUGAAUUCCUAAUUCAUUUGAUUUUUGCUUCUGUGCCAAAAGAAUAUGAGGCAUUUAUUGUGAACUACAACAUUCAGCCUGAAAAGUGGAAUUUAGAAACGCUCAUGGCUAUGUGCGCUCAGGAGGAGGAAAGAUUGAAGUCCUCACAAGGUGACUCUGCUCAUUUUGUGAGAGACAACAAAAGAAAGAACUUCAAUGGCAAGAAACCACAAGGGAAACCUCAGUGGAAUCAGUCUUCCCCCUCCAAACAACAGGGAAAGAAACCCCAGAACCCAGAGAACCAACAGAACCAGCAGAACCAACCACACAACCCCUAUGGCUCAGCUGAAAUGGAUCAGUGCAAGUACUGUUUCAAGCGAGGCCACUACAAGAGGGAUUGUCCAGACUUCCUGAAGUCUAUGAUGAAAAGAGGUGAGGAAAUUAUUACUUUUGUAGAUGAAUCCCUGUAUUUAUGUUAUGCAAAAUCCACUUGGUGGGUUGAUUCAGGAGCAACUACUCAUGUUGCAAAUUCUUUACAGGGAUUAAGUGGGACGAGAACCUUGCAAAGAGGAGAAAGAACAAUUAAAGUUGCAAAUGGAGUUCAAGCCAAUGUUGAAGCCAUUGGAGAUUUAUUUUUAGAAUUGCAUAAUGGUUUUGUACUUAAACUUAAAGAAGUACUUUAUGUUCCCUCUUUGCGUCGAAAUUUAAUAAGUGUCUCGAAACUUGACGAUGAUCGAAUUGAUUGCCAUUUUGGUGAUGGCAAAUGUAAGAUACUUGUUAAUGAUGAAUGUGUUGGUCUUGCCUUCCGACAAGACAAACUUUAUUUAUUAUCUCUUGUUGAUAAUGUGAAUGAUGUAUGUGAUGAGAAUAUGAAUGAUUCCCUGUCUACAAAUGUAAACAAGAAGCGGAAGAGAGCUGAAAAUACCUCUUCGAAAUUAUGGCAUUGUCGCUUAGGCCAUAUUUCGAGGGAGAGAAUAGAACGAUUAGUAAAAGAAUCAAUUCUUCCGCAUUUAGAAUUUUCCGAUUUAGAACAAUGUGUUGAUUGCAUUAAAGGAAAGUAUGUCAAGAAAAUUAAGAAAGUACGAUCCGACCGAGGUGGAGAGUACUAUGGGCGACAUACCCCUUAGAGCAUCUCCAACCAUUAUGCAUUUGAAGUUAUGCAUUUUAGGCAAAUCGCAAACCCCCAAAUGAAAAUGGCAAGGCUAAAAUCGGGUGAUCUCCAACCGUUAUGCAAAAUGCCAAGUCCACCAUCUUUUUUUCCCGAAAAUUUUGUUUCACGGCACUCCUUCCCGCGCGGCCAAUCGAUCCCGCACCAAACAGCCCGUCGUCGUUGAUGAAUAAGGCGUACCUGGUCGGCGUUGAUGAGGAAGGCAUCGUAGAUUCGUCCUAUCGCGCGCUGCGUCGUCCUAUUCUGCGCUGCUUCGUCCAAACGCGCGCGCGAAGCUGGCGAAGGAGGACGCGCGAUGCUUCUCCUAUCGCGCGAAGUGGUGGCGACGCGAAGGGAAACCGCGCGAACGGAAGAAAAAAGCCCGCGAGGUGGAGACGGAGUCAGCUGAUCUGCAGGCGACCCGAGAAUCCCGUCAUCUCUAUUUGCAUAGCCGGACUCCUUUGGCAUAUAUGCCAAGUUUCCCCCUCCAAAUGCAUAGCUAUGUAAAAUGCAAAGUCCAAAUGCAUAACGAUUGGAGGGGUUUUUUUUUGAGUUUUAUGCAUUUUGAUAAAUGCCAAGUCCAUUUGCAUAAUGGUUGGAGUUGCUCUUAUGGCCAAGUUCCUGGACCUUUUGCAAGGUUUCUACAGGAAAAUGGCAUAGUCGCUCAGUACUCCACACCGGGGGAGCCUCAGCAGAAUGGAGUGGCUGAAAGACGUAACCGUACCUUAAUGGAUAUGGUGAGAAGCAUGAUAAGUUACUCCACACUACCGAUUAGUUUAUGGAUGGAGGCAUUGAAAACUGCCAUUUAUAUACUUAAUCGAACCAAGUAAAUCGGUGCCUAAAACACCAUAUGAAUUGUGGACAGGAAGAGAACCCUCACUUAACCAAUUGCGUGUGUGGGGCUGUCCAGCUGAGGCAAAAGUGUUUAACCCAAACAUAGGAAAACUAGAUCCCAAGACAGUCAGCUGCCAUUUUAUUGGCUAUCCAGAAAGGUCGAAAGGAUAUCGCUUCUAUUCCCCUAACAGACAUACGAAGAUUGUAGAAACUAGACAUGCUGUCUUCUUGGAGGAUGACAUGAUCAGGGGGAGCAAGGUAGCAAGAGAAAUCAGUCUAGAGGAGAAGCGGGUAUUCAUGCCCACCCCAAUAGAUGAAGAACCAUUUUUUACACUACCUGUUGCUGCUGUUGUUGCAUCGACAGUGCAAACCACUGUUGUGCCAACACCUGUCGUUAGUUCUCCUGUGGCGACAAUAAAUGAACCUGAGGAACCUGUAAUUCAGGAACCUAUAGAACCAAUUGUCGUUCAUGAGGAAGAACAACCACAGCCCAUUGUGGAACAAGUGCCAGAGGCCCCUAGAAGGCCACAAAGAAUAAGAAGGUCACCUAUUUCUGAUGACUAUGAAAUUUAUGAAACAAAAGAAUUUCACAUGGGGAAUGAUCCCACCUCAUUUGAAGAAGCCAUGAGAAGCGAUCACUCAUCAAAGUGGCUUAAGGCCAUGGAAGAUGAAAUGAAAUCAAUGAGUGCCAAUAAAGUUUGGGACUUAGAAGAAAUUCCUAAAGGAGCCAAAACAGUAGGCUGCAAAUGGGUCUACAAGACGAAAUAUGACUCCCAAGGGAAAGUUGAAAGAUUUAAAGCGCGACUCGUGGCGAAAGGCUUUACGCAAAGAGAAGGGAUUGAUUACAAUGAGACCUUUUCUCCAGUCUCAUGUAAAGAUUCCUUCAGAAUUAUAAUGGCACUUGUAGCUUACUAUGAUUUAGAAUUACAUCAAAUGGAUGUAAAGACGGCAUUCCUUAAUGGGGAUUUGGAGGAAAAUGUUUAUAUGGCACAACCGAAAGGUUUUGUCAUAGAAGGAAAAGAAAAUAUGGGAUGCCACCUAAAGAAAUCAAUCUAUGGAUUGAAACAAGCUUCAAGACAGUGGUACUUGAAGUUUGAUGAAAUGAUAAGACGAUUUGGGUUUAAAGAAAAUGUUGAGGACAACUGCGUUUUUGCAAAAUUUAAGAAUGGAAAGUAUAUAUUCUUGAUUUUGUAUGUGGACGAUAUUCUACUUGCUAGUAGUGAUAUGAACCUAUUGAUGGAAACAAAGAAAUUUUUGUCCUCAAAUUUUGAUAUGAAAGAUCUCGGUGAGGCCUCGUUCGUUUUGGGAAUAGAGAUUCACCGAGAUAGAAGAAAAGGGGUUCUAGGAUUAUCGCAAAAGGCAUACAUAGAAAAGGUUCUAAAGAAAUUUAGUAUGCAUGCGUGCAGUCCCUCACCUGCUCCUAUAGUCAAGGACGAUAGAUUUGGGGAACAUCAGUGUCCCAAGAAUGAAUAUGAAAUUAACCAAAUGAAAGUGGUACUGUAUGCUUCAGCAGUUGGAAGUUUACAAUAUGCUCAAGUGUGUAAACGCCCUGACUUAGCUUAUGUUACCGGGUUACUUGGCAGAUAUCAAAAGAAUCCAGGAUUUGAACAUUGGAAAUUGGUAAAGAAAGUCCUGCGUUAUUUGCAGGGUACGAAAGGCCUCAUGUUGACAUAUAGAAGAUCUGAUUGCCUGCAGAUAGAGGGGUAUUCAGAUUCCGAUUAUGCGGGAGAUGAAAGAAAAUCCACGUUAGGAUAUAUAUUUACUCUCGCUGGAGGAGCGAUAUCGUGGAAAAGCUCCAAACAAACUGUGUAUGCCGAGUUUGUAGCAUGUUAUGAGGCAACAGGGCAGGUGAACUGGCUAAAGAAAUUUAUACCCGGAUUGAAAGUAAUUGAUAGCAUAAAUGAACCUAUGAGGUUGUAUUGUGAUAACAACCCAGCGAUACAGUAUGCUCACAACAAUAGGUCAAGUGGUGCUGCCAAACACAUUGACAUAAAGUACUAUGUUGUGAAAGAUAAAGUUCGGGAUCAUAUCAUAAAUCUUGAGCACGUAAGUACAGAAAGAAUGCUCGCGGAUCCGCUCACAAAGGGCUUACCACCCAAUGUGUUCAGAGAACACGUAGCCGACAUGGGUUUAAGGGAAAGCCUAUGAGUCCCGAACAUACGAAGGGCCCAAGGAGAAUUCGUUCCAUACAGAAAGGUGUAUUGUAGCUGCUAGUCUAACGACAUUAAUUGAUGUGACGAUGAAACAGUUCUAUGCGCUAAUCUAUAAUGGAAUAGGAAAGAAACAAGAAAAAUAUGAAUUAAAGGUUUGAAUACGAAAAUGAAAAACGAAGAAAUAAUGAGAGAUCAAGGGGGAGAAUGUUAGUUGAUCUUCUUUCCAGAUGGGCCCAAAGGUCUUCUGGGCCUUGUUCUCGCGCCCUGAUCGGGGGCGCCCAACCCUACAUGGUUAGUGGGCCCCGUCGCACAGCGCUAUAAAGGAAGGUGGGGGGCUGGAGCUCGAGGUACGAGGUUCACCGUGUAGCCAAACUCCCCACCGAUAUCCUAAACCCUAAUCCGAUCCGAGAGGGGCGCUGCCAGCGACGGGAAGCACCACCGACGCCGGCAACACCACCUCGACGUCCGCGCCGUCACCGAGAAACGUCCCCAACGCAGAUCCGAUGGCUUCACCAGCGAACGGCGCCACUGCUAACGCCAGCGGAUCUACGGCGGCUCCGGCUCCAAGCGACGGUCUAGUCUAUUUACCGUUUCCGUUUUGUUUUUACGGUAGAUCUUAUUUAGGGCAUGUUGAUGUACAUAUUAUUAUUGAUUAAAUGUAAAGAAAUGUUUCCGAUCUAUGAAGCGAUGUGUUACGAAUUUUAACAAUACUUACAUUUGUCACGCUAGUCGAUCGGUUGAUCUACAAAGAGAGACCGACGAGGAGCGCGACCGUCGAGGGUGCGGUCUCCGUCGCUCGUCCAUCAUUUCCUCACAAGGCUAUGCUUUCGUCAAUGGAUGCAGUGGCGGAGCGUCUCCGGUCGGACGCUCUGAGGAAGGCGGCCGUUCCGUCACCUCCUCUCUUGUCAGGGUCUUUUGCUGCGGCUCCAAUACACUGAUACAGUGGUUCAGUUUGCCAUUGUUGGAUAUCCCGCUACUAGCUAGUAUUCUUGUGGCAAUGAAUGAGAUACUCCCUCCAUCUUAAAUUAUAAGUCACUUCAAAAAUCUUAAAAAGUCAAAACAUAUCAAAUUUGACCAAAGUUAUAGCUACAAUUAGAAAGAUUAAUGAUUUCAAAUAUGUAUACUAUGAAAAUAUAAUUAAUAAAGAAACUAAUAAUACUUAAUUGCAUCAUAAUUGUUAUUAUUUUAUCAUAUAAAUUUGGUCAAAUUUGAAAUACAUUGACUCUAUAAGAUUUUUAGAAUGACUUAUAAUUUGAUAUGGAAGGAGUAGUAUACUCCUAGCUACUCGAGUACUAUGUUGCUAAGUACCAGCCAGGGCCAGGGGUGGCGAGCAUUUCAGGGCAACCUUGAAAACUCUGUUCGUGCUCCUGCCACGAACUGGGAAGCUAGCUAGCUUUCCAUCGUAAAUAGACAACUGUACUGUGUAAACUGCAAAGUGAUUUUGGUGGUCUCAACUCAAAAUAUCCAGCGGUAGCCGGGACUUGCUAAAAUUUAUUUAGGCCACACUUAUUGCAUAUAUUUUAUGUUAAAUUACAUAUUUAGUUCGUUGCAAUUUGUGUAGACAUAAUAUGCAAUUUUUAGAUUCGACAAAAAUAAGAAACCUGUUAAACAAAGAAUAUUUUUACAAUGGUUGGAGAGGCGAUGAGAAGCAAUUGGUGUGUCUAUGACCGGUGGACCCAGAGCAUGAAAAGCGAUGUGAGGCGAUGAGAGUUAGGCGAUGAGAGGCGAUUGGUGUGUCUAUGGUCCGUGGGCCAUAAGCGUCCCGUCGCCUCCCAUCGCCUCCGAAAUUGAGAGGAUUAGGGCUCUAAUUAGAGGAGUGGUAAUUCCUUUUUUUGUAGUUUUGUAUUUUAACAAAGGGUAAAAAGGUAAAUGCAUAAUUGUAAAAUGUGUAGUAUAGUUGUAUAUGUAUAAUUGAAGUAAUAUAGUUUGAUGAGAUUCUAAAUAGAAUAACAUUUUAUUUCUAGGGUCCAUGAGGCCACCUAAUCCUCUUCUCCCGAUGACAUCCAGACCGCUGCAUCCUCCUCUGCCGCUGCCUAGGUCCCGCCGGCGCUCCCGACCUCGCGCGAGGACAUCCAGGACGUCGUUGUCAAGGCCGGCGAGCUGCGGGCAAGGAGGGAGAGUUGGAUCCGAAGACGCGAUGUACGUGAAGAAGCCGACGGCGGCGGAGGUCUCGCCCGCACCCAAGCCGUCGCCCCACCACCGUUCAUGGAUCGUCUCCGGCACCGUUGUCUGUCGUCGGGAGGACCUCGACGCACUGCGUCGGUCCUGCAUCGUCUCCGGCGAGAUCUAGGCCUGACCCCUCCUGACCAACCAUCAGCUCCCCAACCGGGCACAUGGAGGCCGCGGCGAGUACCGGCCCUCCUUCGUGGACGACCUCCUCCUCGCCUUCUUCCGGAGGAACAUGGUGGAGGUGAGCUCCACUCCAUUCACCGAUUCCUUCCUUCCCUCCUCCGGUUAGCUGAUGCUAAACAUGUUACUAGCUUCUUUUUCCUUAAGACAAAAUGCUAGAACUGUACUAUUAUCUGACUGGUAACACAUUGGAUUGAAUCUCACAUUGGAUUGAAUGUCACAUUGAAUCUCAUAUUGAAUCUCACAUUGGAUUAUCUGACUGGUAACUGUGUCUGAAAACUAAGACAACACUGAAUCUCACAUUGGAUUGAAUCUACAAAAUGGCCAUUUAGUUUUGUUAAAGUCUGAGCUGAAUGCUCAAUUUGGUAACAAAGUAUUUGUUUUCAAUUGGUCUGACAUUGUGCUUGAGCUAUGGUUACUCUGCACCGCCCUCCCUCCCUUGUCAUCAUGAAUUGAUGCUCAAGUAGUUUGAUCUGAGUUUUAGUUUGCAUCACUUUGCUAUAGUGACAUGAUCUGAGUUUUAGCUGCUAUCUAGUACUGUUGUUGGGGAAGAGAUCAUUAUUGGCCAAACCAUCAAACCAGCUUGGGCAGCACGGUAGUCAUAGGAUAGCAGCUAAUUAGGUCCUUUUGUUGUGUCUCCAUUAGUUGAUUGCCUGAUGGAUGCUACCUUUGGGUUCCUGAAAUGCUGAGAUGUUUAACUCAAAAAUGCAUUUAGUAGCUUAAACUAAGUGUAGGACCGUAAUUGCAUUAGUGUAAAACCAGCUUCUGUUUAGAUGGUGAAAGGGCUUGAUUGCCUGAUGGAUGGCACCUUUUAAUGGGAUAUGUCAAUAAUUGGUCCUAGCUCUGUGUUAGCUAAAGACUAAUUAUUUUAUUUUCUACGUCGUGGUGUCUAUGUCGCAGGUGUUGAAAGAGCUGAAACAGCUAGAAGAUGCCAAAUAUGGUUCACCAUUCAGAUGUCGCCCCAAAUACGCCAAUGAGUUCAACCUUUACCACGACGCUCACUUGGAGCAACAGCAGCAUCCCCAUUGGCAGGAUAUCGCACUGCACAAGUGCGCUAGAACUGGAUUUAGAGAGGCCACACCCUGUGGGUUGUAUAUUUGUUGGUUCAAAGCAGUGAGCGCUGAGCAGUGUUGUAUAACUUUUACUUCCACUCAUGUUUUGGAGAUUGUGUAUGGCACUAGAAUAUGACCAUGUGAACCUAUGAGAUACAUUUAUGUGGCAUCAAUGAAUAUCACCAUUCAGAUUUUGCCAAAUAUGGUUCACAUUUAACUUUGACUUGAUCUCUUUUUUUGCUGCAAUGGAAUUUCACAAUUGAGUUGCACAAUUAUCAACAGCAUAAUAGAUGAAUGUGACAACCAUACAUCAUCGUUUUUGUUCAAAACGACGUUUGUAGAGUAUGUCAUCGAAACAAUCAUAUUUUGACAAAUGAACACGAAGCAUAUUAGCUGUCGUAGCAGAACGUGGUAUUCAUAAGUUAUUUGAUACUUUGGAACAAUAAGCAUGUCUUGCAGUCUCGUUAUUCAUAGUAUGUUUAAGUGCCACAAGAAAUCUAAAAAUUCAGAGAAACACAAAGUAAUGUUGCUCUCUAAAACUUUAUUUUUGAAAGAGUUGUUCCAUAAAACAUCACUUUUUGUGAUGUUUCUUUGGCUUGGCAUCCCCCUUUUCAAGCUUCUCGAUCUUCGCUUCCAUGGUGAGAACCUUGUUUUCAAGGUAAUUGAUUUGUUUAACCAUGGUGGCCGAGUUCUCUUGGAGCGUCUGGAUACGAAGGUCCUGCAUGAUUGGACAAAACCCGAGCUGUGGAAGAUAAAGUUAAUUAAUUAGAUAAAAUUCAUGAAUGAUUGCGGACUGCUUGGAUAUGCUUACUUACUAACAGGUAAAUUUGUAUAAAAACCAUGAUAAUCUAUGCGGCCAGAUCUAACAACAUGUAGCAAUAAAAUAGCACGUACAUCUUCGGGUGACGAGGCGUCUGAGCUGGAACCAGAUGUGCACGCACAGCAGGGCAAACCUCGAUUGAUCUUGCAGUCAUGGCAGUUCCUAUCGUAGUCGCUCCUCAGGUCGUAUCGCUUGUUGACUCGGAAAUUUGUGUUCUUAAAUGGAUCAUUGUUCAUCGCCUUCAAGGAUGAUGCCGCAUCCCCCUUGUUCUUAGCGGCCGAGCGUGGAUUCCCGGCGGCUUUUCGUGUUUUGGUCAUCUCGCGCCGAGCGUUGAAUCCCGGCGUCUCUUCUCGGACGGAGGACGAGCAGGGGAGGAUGGAGGACGAGCAGGGAAGAUGACGAGGAGGAGGAUAGAAAGGAAGAGAGAAUUCUACAUAUUAAACAAGUAGAGAUCCUAUCCAAGAGAUAAAGCAGGUAGAGAUAUAUCAGGAAAGAGAGAUACGAUCCUAUAAUUUAGGAGGAAGAGGAGGUUAUUUCCGUUUUUAAGAAAAUCAGAGCACGGUAUAAUCACGGUCGUUCCUAUAAUCACGCUCGGCAGUGUUUUUUUUUAUCACGCUCGGUAUUGGUUAGCCGGCAGUUUCCAAGAGCACCCCAGCGGCCCAGCCCAUGUAAGGCCAUCAGACAUGCUGCACGCCUUAAGUUUAUUUUUAUUUGCCAUUAUUUAUGAAGAAAAAAAAUAAAUUACCCGUUCAUGCAUGUAGUAUAUUAUUUUUUAAAAAAUGGCACUUCACACUCGUUUUAAAAUUAAUUAUAUUAACUUAUACUUCCAAUUUGUGAUCAUUUAGUGGACUUAUUGUCCUAACAUGAUACAUACUCAAUGGAUACUCUUACGUUUGUCUAUGUAGUGUCAAAAACCUAACUUACAAGAAAGUGAAUUGAUCACUCUCAUGUGUCACCAGAGUGAACCACUCUGACGUGUCGUCCGAGUUGAAUAAUAGGCUAAUAACAUAAUAAGACAGUGAAUUGAUCACUCUCAUGUCUCAUGUCGCCGCUAUCAUGUGUCGUUCCAAUCCGGACCUCUCUAAGAUUAGCGACGAUGAAAAAUAAAUAUAUUACAUAGGAUUGGAUAUAAAAGCUCAUAGCCUCUCUACCAGCAGUUUUAACAAGAAAUCAAUUUUGCAAUAAAUGGUUUGUAAAAAAACAAAUUACUAAAAAUAAUUCAAUUUCAAAAAUAAAUGGUUUGGCAAAAAAUAAAUUAUUGUAAAUAAUUCAAUUUUUAAAUAGAUUGUUUGGAAAAAAUAAAUUAUACCAAAAAUGUCAAAUUUAAAAUAAAUAGAUUGGCAAAAAAAUUAUAUUAACUUAUACUUCCAAUUUGUGAUCUUUUAGUGGUUCGAUCCCAUGUCUUGAGUUCUUGACUGAGUGGACUUAUUGUCCUAACACGAUACAUACUCAAUGGAUACUCUCACAUUUGUCUAUGUAGUGUCGUAAAUCUAACUUGCAAGGAAGUGAAUCGAUCAAUCUCAUGUGUCACCAGAGUGAACCACUCUGACGUGUCAUCCGAGUUGAAUAAUAGGCUAAUAACACAAUAAGACAGUGAAUUGAUUACUCUCAUGUCUCAUGUGAGUGGACUAGUACUCUUAGCCCUAACAUGUCGCCACUAUCAUGUCUCGUCCCAAUCCGGACCUCUCUAAGAUUAGCGAUGAUAAAAAAUAAAUACAUUACAAGGUUGGUUUGGAUAUAAAAGCUCAUAGCCUCUCUACCGGCAGUUUUAACAAGAAAUCAAUUUUUGCAAUAAAUGGUUUGAAAAAAAACAAAUUACUAAAAAUAAUUCAAGUUCAAAAUAAUUGGUUUGGCAAAAAAUAAAUGAUUGUAAAUAAUUCAAUUUUAAAAUAGAUGGUUUGGGGAAAAAUAAAUUAUACCAAAAAUUUCAAAUUUAAAAUAAAUAGAAUAGAUUGGCAAAAAAUUAUUUAUGGCCCAAAUAAAAAAAAUGGAACCCGUGGGCAAAGGAGAUGGCACAAGCUAGGUCAGGCUCUACCAUAAAGGGAGCCCAACAACAAGCCAAACCAGCCCAAUCGGCCCACGUGAUUCGUUUUUCUGAUCCAAUCUGACAGUGUAAUAUACAAGAGUUCGGAAGUUGCCGGGAGUCCUGCGAUGUUAAGUUGAGUUCUUCGUUGGAUUGCAAGCGAGGUGGGACUAAACAUUUGGCGCGGACUGCUGUGCCUUGGCUUGGUCAGGACCACGCAAUGGGCCUUGGUCCAGCCGCGGCCCGCUUGUUUGUCCCAGCAAAACAGGCUCCACAUGGCUCUUUGCCGUUAGAUCAAAACGGAUGGUUGAGAUACACUUGGCUUGAAAUAAAAAUCGAAGAACCCUAACUCUUUCGUCUCAUUUCUCCCCCGUCUCUCCUCUCUCUCGUUUGCAGCCCCUGCCCUUCUAUGGCAUCUCCUCCAUACAGCUGCCAUCCUGUACAGUCGCGGGAGCAGCGGCUCCCUACCACUCGACCUCGCGGAGCAGCGAGGGCGUGAGAUCCAGUGGCAAUGGCCAUUUCUAUGUAGGACGCCGCGGGAUCUAGCGUCCUCGGCUAGAUCUGUCAAGGAGGGCGCGGGUUCCGGCCAACACGUCGAACCCAUCCUGCGGCGUCAUACAGGCACCGUCCACCAGCAUCCUACACGCACCGUCCACCCGCCGCCAUCCUCCAGGUAGGGCUUGGUGCAUGCAUAGGUCCAUCCCUCCCCUUCUGUCCAUGCUCGCAAAUUGAAUUUGUUUGCUUUAGAUCAAAUUUGAAUGCUGAUGUUCAUCGGUUACUUUGUGUUAGUGUUACUCAGGCAGCUACUUUGCUAUGUAGUUUAUUACCCAAAUUUCUAUGCGAUGUACUAGAGAUCACGUAUUUUCAUCUUCUGUCUGUGUAGUCCAUUUAGGGCCUGUUUGGUUGCCCGCAUAUGGGCGAAGCAGGCUCAUUUUUUUCCUCUUUUGUGUUACCGAUUUGUAAACCAUAGUUGUGAUUUUUGUUCACCUAGGUGUAGGCAUGGCAGAUCUGAUUUCUUGAGGUACGGAUCUAUCCUCGUGUGUGUAUAUUUGUUAUUUUUUUGUUUUGAUUUUAAAACGCUAACUUGCAUGUGCAAAUAAUUCUUCUUGUGGAUUUGUGCGUGCAGAUCUGACCUCCCUUCAACUGCUGCUGUGCUUUGCUGGUUCUUGUGCUCGUUGACGUGGGUAUUUUGUUCUUCUCCUCCCCCUUUCUCCUCUCCCUCUAAUCUUUACUGUGUGAUGCAUGCCGUACUUUUGAGAUUAUUAAGAGCAAUUAUAUGAAGAUCCCUAUUUUGCUAAGCUAUUGCUCAAGUCAAUGAUGACAUUUUUUUUCAUGAGCUAUUGUCCUAGUCUAUGAUGAUUACAUUGUUAUGUCUGAGCAUUUGUUUAAAAUACAUGAGAUGGUUGUUUGGCCUAUGAUGAUCCUAAAAUACAUUCUGAGGUGGCUGUGUUGCGUAUUGAUUAUUGUUUCUCAGUUUAUCAUGACUCUCAUCAGGACAUGAGAUACGUCCAUCCCCAAUGCAACAGGUGUACAAUUUGGCACCUGAUGGCUGAGGAUGGCGUGUCUCAUGGCCCCAUGGCAGCCAUGAAUGUUUUGUUAUCCCAGAUUGACCACCAUUUCUCAGUUGUUAGACAGGCACCAUUGACAUGUUCUUAUGUCUAUAGCUAUUAAUAAAAAAGCUGAGGCCAACAUGUGUUUUUUCCCUAUGGGUAAAUUCAUUGAUGAAUAUUUUUUCCCUAAGAUACUAUGCUGGAUCUGAGACUAUGGACAUAUGCAAUGAUGAUUGUUUUUCCCCUAGGAUACUACACUUGCUGGUUGUAACCUUACCACUCAAACAAAGUGGUAACUACACGGAAUUAAAUUGUUUGGCCUAUGAUGGUUCAAAAUACAUUCUGAAGUGGUUGUGUUGCUUAUUGAUUAUUGUUUCUCAGUUCAUCAUGACUGUCAUCAGGACAUGGGAGACGUCCAUCCCCAAUGCAAUAGGUGUACAAUUUGGCACCUGAUGGCUGAGGAUGGCGUGUCCCAUAGCCCCAUGGCAGCCAUGAAUUUUUUGUUGUCCCAGAUUGACCAGUUUUUGGCCACCAAGGAUGAAUGUAAAAAUAAGCAUUAAGUUGGGAAACCUUAACACCUGAGGCCCCUUUGCCUUCUUUAUGUUGUCAAUGAUGUCACAUGGUCUAAGGCUUUAGGCAUGAGCAAUGAUGAUUUAUUUCAUAUGAUAUACAAUUGAUCUGAGGCUUUGGGCAGUAGCAAUGAUGAUUUAUUUUAUAUGAUAUACACUUGAUCUGAGGCUUUCUGCAGUACCAAUGAUGAUUUAUUUUAUAUGAUAUACACUUGAUCUGAGGCUUUGGUGUUGAGAGAAGUUUUAGCAACCCCAACCAAACACCGCCUUAGCACAAUACCAAAUCAAAUAAAUGGUUUGGCCAAAAUUUAAUUAUGGCAAAAUAAAUCAAUUUGGACUCAUGCAUGGACACUAAAAACAUAACUAGAGAGUAAUUUGCGAGACGAAUGUACUAAAUAUAGAGUAUUUAAGCCUAACUAGUCUAUGAUUGGGCACUAAGUAUCAAAUAAGAGAAAAAUACUAGAGUAACUGUUCAAGCUUUAGCAACCCCAACCAAACACCGCCUUAGCACAAUACCAACUCAAAUAAAUGGUUUGGCCAAAAUUUAAUUAUGGCAAAAUAAAUCAAUUGGGACUCAUGCAUGGACACUAAAAACAUAACUAGAGAGUAAUUUGCGAGACGAAUGUACUAAAUAUAGAGUACUUAAGCCUAAUUAGUCUACGAUUGGGCACUAAUUAUCAAAUAAGACAAAAAUGAUUGGACUCUAACUAGUCAAUUUGAAAUAAAUGGUUUGGCAAAUAAUACAAUUUCAAAAAUCGUGUUUGGCCAAAACUUGAUUAUGGCACAUAAUUUAAAUUUAAAAGAAUAGUUGGACAAAAAAUAAAUUAUGGAAAAAAAUUGUUGCUACGGUCCAAAGAGCCAACAGCUUCGUCAGGCUCAACCACGAAGGGUGAUGGAUAAGGAAACAAGAGUUUGCGAGCAGGUUGUGUAACAUAGGAGUUCAAGAGCUGUUGUGUGCCUCUGCUUUUAAGUUGUGUUCUAAGAUACUCGGGAAGCAAGGUGGGACUAAACGUAGGAUGCGGAUUGCUGUGGCUUUGUUGUGUCCCACCUUGGCCCAGCUGCGGUCCGCUCCUGCUGCUCGCUUCAGCGCGCGCAAGCACAACGCUAGGCCCAGCCGCGGCCUGCUCCCGCUGCUCGCUCCAGCGCGCACGCAAGCACAACGCUAGGCCCAGCAACCACGGUCAGGCCAACCGCGGAUGCCACAUUAACUGGCGAAGGCACCGCCGCCCGAUUCCCACAAACGCCGCCCGGAGCUAAACCCGCCGCCGCGCUGAUCUCCGCCCGCCGUGCUGAUCUCCGCCUUCACCGCGUCACCGGCGUCAAGAACUCCUCCACGUCCUUCGCAUCGAGGUCAGUAAUGUGAACAAAAAAAUAUGUGAAUCAAAUACCGUGAGCCUUGCAUGUGAACGAAAAAUAUCUAUAUCUAUACCGGUGAGUAGAUUAUUUUUUUGAUUUUCAAUUUGUCUUAGUCUUGUUGCCAUACCACGCACCAUGGCUGUUGCAUCAAAUUUUUGUCUCAAUGAUUUGUUUGGUUUACCAUACUUUCUUGGUCUAUUGGAUCUAGUUUGAAAAGGGUUUCUAAAUCCAUAGGUGCCAUGGAACAAGUUUGGAGGUCCCUGGAGGAGUCCGAGGAGAAGGUUACUAAACUUGAACAGGGCCAGAAGGAUUUGGUUUGCAGGAUACAGCUUGACCAUACCGAAGCUGACAUCAAUAAUGCAGAUAAACAACUUGAACAAGACAAGUACAUAUCAUGUCAAUUUGCAGAGCUGGACAAAGCGAGUCAGAAAGAGCUUUCUGACUUAAGCAAAAGAAUUGAAAAAGAACAGAUUGUCCAACUUAAGAAAGCCUUAUCUGAUCAGCGUGCUCUUUUUAACCAGCUGAUAGCAAAUGAACGUGCAGUCGCAAAUGUAGUCUUACAAAAGACCCAGGAAGAAUAUGAUGAGAUCAUAAAGAACGAGCGAGAAAUAAUUGACUCCUUGAAUAAUCAGGCAAACAUACAAUUGUUUGAGUGGAAGAAUGACUACUCAAAGCUAAAGUCCCUGAUUGAGAACUUUACCCCUUUGAUCCAACUACAAGAGGCUCGUGGCAAUAUUAGUUUCAAGGUAACUACAGUACUCUAAUCAUUUAUAUUUUUCUCUAUCAUAUAUACAACAAUCUGAACACCUACAGUGUUUUGACUUAAAGGAACAAGACGAAGAUAUCAUUCCUAUGACACGGUAGUACUUCUAUACAGCAGUGGACUACUACUGUCCACCGGUAAAAUGGAUUAUGUGAUUUUUUGUGUAACAACUUGUUCUGCUCAAAUGAUAACCGUUUCAAUCUUCCAAUCCUUGCAUGCAGGAUAUGGUUAUGAAAUUUUUUGUUCACAAAGUGCCUGAACUGUAUUCUGAUCUGCAGAAGUAUGACCUUCGGGCACAUUUGAGACAGUUUAGAAUUGCAAGUCCAGCCACUAGUGUUGAGUACGCUGAUUUCAUGAAAGGUUUGUUUUAUCAUGGAUACAUAGGAGACGCAGAGGUAUACUACCUCGAUCCUACUCCUUAGAGUGAUCCAUGCACUGGAUUGCAAAAGAUUGUUGGAGCAGAAGAUGUAAAACAAAUGGUGCGUGCUCAUGCUCAAGUGGGUACUAAGAUUUGUCAUCUCUACCUAGUGAGCACAUAUGAAGACCAAUGCCCGGACGUGAGUAUUGGUUAUUCUUGACAAAUAUCUACUCAACACCACCAUUGACCAAACACUAAUGAAAUCUAAUGGACUUGUAUUGCAGGAGGACAUGGAAACAUCUAAUGCAAACGUUAUGGAUGUCUAAUGCAGGACGAGGCAGCUGGGCAUAUUUCUUAGUUAUAGAAUUGAGACUGAAUUGAAUUUUAAAUAAUUUGAGCAUAUUUUUCUCUAUUUUUAUCUUAUGUAAAGAAUUUGAGACUGAUUUGAAAUCCUGUUUUUUGAGCAUAUUUUCCUGCCUUUUUUGGUGUUUUUUUGGUGUUAAGAAAGACAGAUCUUUAGUUUUUAUUUACAGGACCGACGUGACAAUUCUGAGCCAGGAGCGGCAGGCUGCAGGCGGAAGGGCGCCUGAUGCCUGCUGUCCUGAUCAGAAACAUGAGUGCAGUCAUACAGCUUGCACUUUGUUUCUGAGCCUCACACAAGAAAAUCGGAGAACCAAUUUCACCAUUUAUAGGAACAAAUUCUAAUUGCCGUGGGAAGAGUGAUUGACAGCUGAUGAGUAGCCAAUACAUGAACGUCACUGCCAAAUCAAAACACUCUUUAGCAGCCAGAGCCUACCAUAUUAUGAGCUCCUGAAUCCUGGAUAUGGCCGAUGCAGGUGCCUGGCAAACAACUUGACAGUUUCAAUUUGCCUAGGUCAAUCUUUUGCUUAGGGUAUGUGUAGGCUUCAUAGUUUAUGUUCUAGGCGAAGGAGCUCAGCUUUGUAAUUGUGGUAAUCAGGUCAACCUGUCAUACAGAACAAAUACGCACAAGUUAGAACAAAAUCUCACUGAAGGCCUCUGAUUUAAAUUUGAAUUCACAGUUGCAUAAAGGUUUUAAAAAAAUAACUAUUGAUAGCAAAUUAUCAGUUAUUCUUCUAUAAACUAAAGUGCACAUCUUCACAAUCGACAUACAAGUUUACAAUUAGCUACGUGACAUAUAUUAAUAAUGCUUAUCCUACAAUCAUAUAAUACGGCAUGUAUAUCUAUCUUUCAUAAACUCACUGACCACAGCAAGCGGAUCAUUGGUAACUCAUAUAUCCAGCACAUCCUCAGGGAGCUUUGUUUCCUACAAAUGAGAGGAAUGUUAGCCAUAACUACACAUGCCUCACAGACAGCCACUACAACAUUAAUGACGAAGAUUACUCUUAACUACCUCUUUUCGCAAGGAGCAUGUUCGCCGAUUGUGACCCUGUUCCUUACACAAGGUGCAUUUCACUGUAGAUUUCUUCUUUUUUGAAACUGACUUCAACUUUUUCUUUGGGGCCCCUCUGCCAGGCACAUGCAUGGGAUCCAAGACAUUUGUGGACACUGUGGAACCAACAUCCUGUGCUUGCGGCAGCACUGGACCAUAACUGUUGCCUCCGUUAUCUCCUCCAUUAGGUGGGAUCAUAGCAUCUUCCUCAUGCAGAACAUGUUUCAGACGCUCAUAUGCUUCAAGUGACCGAGAUGCUACAAAGGAUGCCGUGUGACUGAUAUUGCGUAGCUCACGGUACCUGUGUAGGCUAUCAGAGUAGUCAUACAUGGUGCUCUUCCUUAUAGGAGCGAAUGCAGCUUUGGCGCCCCUUGUCCACCUUUUCAAAACACAACAUCCUGGAAGCUCGCGAUCUUCGCGAUAGCCCAAUACAAAGAAGAUGUGUGAGCAGGGGGUUCCAAGGGAUUGUAACUUAAGACAAGAACAAGAUAUUCCCUUCACAUUGCCUUCAUCUACACAUAUCUCGCAUUUCACAAAGUAUUGUUUGUCUCCUUUAUCAACCUUUCCAACAAUAUACGUCUGCAUAUCAUAGCCAUCUAGGUGCUCAAUCAUAAAACACUUGCUGGCUGCUCUUAUGCUGAACUGCACCUUGGAAAAAACUCCUGGUGUGAACGAUUUCGCAGCCUCUUUCUCAAUAAUUGAAGCAUCUGGUUGUAAGCAUGGCUCAGAAUUCUCUGCUUCAAAAUCCAGAUGCGCUUCAUUACUACGCAGCCGUGAAAGGCAGUGGUCAAAGUGCUGUACCAGUUCAAAUAGUGUCAUUUUACGAUCUAGAUGUACCUGAAGCCUAGAGUUUAGGCUCUCACUCCGUUGGUUGCUCCUCAGUCCUAAAUAGCACUUACCAGCAUGAUACGCAACACACCAGAUUUCCCUCCUCUCAUACAUCUGAUACAGCCACGACUCCUUAUCUGUAACAUUAUGUUUAUCCAAGAAUUCUAGCCAUUUCCUCCCAACCUCUUCUAUGGACCAACAGUCAUAAAGAAAAUGUCUGAAAUCAUCCUUGACGCCAUCUUCGUGCAGAUUACGCACAAUGUUCUGCUCAAUAUGCCAUAUGCAUAGCCUGUGCGAUGAAUUCGGCCACACCAGCCUGAUUGCUCUCUGCAUAGCAAGAUCUCCAUCAGUGAUCACAGAAACCGGAUGCUUCCGAGCCAUGGCAUCAGAGAAUGUCCUUAGCAUCCACACAUAUGACUCAAUAGUCUCCUGUGCAAUAAUUCUAGAUGCAAAGAGAACAGUGCUGCCAUGGUGAUUCACCCCAACAAAAGGAACAAGGGGCAGGUUGUAUCGAUUAGUUUUGUACGUGCUAUCAAAUACGACGACAUCACCAAAUGCUGCAUAAUCAAACCGACAUUGACAGUCACACCAGAGUAGUCCCUUCAGGUGCCCUUCCCCAUCAGUCUUGUAUUGGAAAAAGAAAUCAGGAUCCCUACAUUUGCAUUCCGUGAGGUAACUGAUGACUGUUUGAGCAUCACCAGCGGCAACUGUCUCCACCUUAUUGCGAUGGCAGAAAUUGUACAGGUCCUUCAUUGUAUAUCCAACCUUAUCGUAUCCACCAUACUGCUUUUGCAUAAUAUCCAUUAUCUGGUAUUUACGGAUCCCAGAAAUUUGCAUCUCCAAAAUCUCAGCUUUCUGCAUCGCUGAUUCUUCUAUGUGAACGCAGCAGACAAGCAACGUCUGGUUCCGCCAUCGGAUGGUUGUGUUCACCGAUGAAAUCCUUCACAUACCACUGCCCUGUGCUCUGAUCCCGUGCAAUCACAAGUUUAGCACGACAUCCAACACGAGUAAUAUUCAGUGGUUACCGCUUCUUACUCUCCCUCUUCAGCUCCUUCUCUUCCCGGAAACCUUCACGACUGCAGACAAACUUCCGAAGGGUAAUUUCAUUAUGGCCACUAUCCCACUCACAGUAGCUUCUCCUAACACUAAAUCCUUUCUGCUUACCAUAUUUGUUAUAAAACUGAAAUGCUUCUUCUUCAUUACCAAACAUCUGCCUAACAAUUUCAUUGUACUCCAGCAAAGAAUCAAGACCCGACAUUUCCUCCUACCUCAAUCAGCAACAUUAAACAAAUUAAAAUUCCACAAAACAAACUAAAGAAAUUGAACAAAGACAUGGUCGUAGCGGCGCAACAGAAAGCCUCAUGUCCAUGUUAACAUUUUCAAUUAAAAAAGAAAUAAGUAUGCCACGCUGAAACAAUACUAGUGCUUGCUAUAAACCAAUAUAAAUAGUAACAAGGAUAAAAAAUUACUCUAAAAACUAGACCAAGCGCUAAGAGUAAUUAAAGAGCAAAUAGAGUUAAGUGCACAGCAAGAUGCAUGAAUGACAAUAUGCAAAACCUCUACAUCAACAUAUAGGCUUGCACACUAUAUAACAAAUCAGUGAAUGAUACCAGGGCUUCUUAAGUUGUGGAAAUGCUAGUUCAUGUCAUCUCUGCAUGCUAGAAUAAUUCUAAUAGUUUGUUCAGAUAAAUGUAGUAAGUUGAAAUAGCAUAUGGUUUAGAAAACUGUCAUUUCACACUUAUUCUUCAUCAAUCCAUCUCUUUUUAGAAAACCUCUGCAUCAACAUAUAGGCUUGCACACCAUAUUAUUAUUUUUAAUUUCAUGAGCCCACAAUGUACUACUGGUUCUUUAAUAGCACAAAAAAACAUGGAGGCGGGAGCAAUAAUUUAAUAACAUAAACACACAGAUCUUUCAGACAUUUCUCCUCUCUGAAUAUAAACAAGCCACUGAUUAUCAAUAGAUAUUUAUUGCAAACAUUCUGUGUAAAUCAUGCAUUGUCAAAUGGGUUUCAGUACCUAUUGGCAUGAAUUGACGAUAGUGGCGCAGCGAUUCCGGUGUCGCUAGCGGACAGGUCGCGCCGGUCUCUGUAGGCCGGGUUGUUUUAGAGGGGAAAUCCACCGACGACCGACGAGCAAGGACAAUGGUGAGGAAGGAGGGAGGAGCGAAGGGAUCCCUAGGCCUCACGCGGGGGAGGGCAGGCCAGCAGCGGCGGCGCUGCACGAGGGCCGGGCCAAGGCAGGCCACACAAUGGCGAGGGCGACGCAGCGAUGAAGCAGGGAGCCUGCGGCGCUGCACGAGGGCCUCCGGCUCGACGCUGUGCGGUGGUAGGGAGCAGGGCGGCGGCGCUGGCCUCCGACGCGACUGUGUGCGGCGGCAGCAGUGGCAGGGAGCAGGGCUGCGGCGGCAGCAGGGGUGAGAGCGAUUUGGGGCCGUGGGCCGUCGGGGGGAGGGGGUGUGCGUGGUGGGGGUGAGGAAGUGAGAUGGAGAAAUGACCCUAUUGUCCUUCAACGAAUUAAAUCAAUACAAAUGAUUAUUUUGGGGAGGCGAUGGGAAGCGAUUCCAACCAUUGUAAAAGGUCUCGUUAAACAAAACCAUAAACCCGAUAAAAUACGACAUGUGUUGGCACAAAGACAAAUAACAAUUUAUAAUUAUUUUUUUACAGUUAUACAAGGAUGAAAAAGUAAUAUUUUAUGACAAAAAACAAUUGACAAAUCACAAAAAACCUGAGGCUGAAGCGGAGCGGCGGCGGCCAGUGUACACGCAUCAUCGCUUGAACGGACUAUAAUAAUCAAGCACCCGAUAUAGAUAGGAAUUGUGAUAAAGAUAACGAUCGAUGGGGACUUAUACUAGUGUAUGUAAAUGAAGGUGAAUUCGGAUGGAGAUCAUUGAUCACGCCAUGGCUCCGACGACCUCGUCCUUGUCUACUCCACAGUAGGCCUCGAGCGGAUCGCUGAAUUUGAGCCCUUCCUCCGAGUAACGCCAGUCGGCGAACUUUUCGUGGCGCAGCGGGUUGUACACCAGCGGGUGCUCCGCAUCGACGAGGUCCUCCAGCGCGCGCACCGCGAAGCCAUCCUUCUGCCGGCGGGCGAACAGCACCGAGAACCGCUCGCGGUUGCUCGGCGUCCUCACGCGGUGGAGGCACGCCGGCACGCGCCCAUUUGUCACGACCUGCACACGCAACGGCGUGAGCAAGUGAGAGUCAGUCGCGCAAGAGGAAUGACAAUGACUGACCAUCAUCAGAGGAUGCAUAUGUCAGCAACUGAGAAUCAUCAAUCAAUCGGAUCGGAUCGUGGCUGCCCCGUACCCUGAACGACUCGCCGGCGACGAAGGUGAAGGUGCCGGUUUCGGCAGGGACGGCGACCCAGCGCCCGUCGCCGACGUGGACCUCGAGGCCUUCCACCUCGUGCUGCACGAUCGCGGUCACCACGAUGCUGUCGGAGUGCGGCUGCAUGGACAUGCUGCUCCUGCGUGGCCGGAGCCGGACAUCGUCGUCGGUCCGAUUAGAGUUUUAGAGCAACCGAACAGAAAAAUUAAAGAUGGGCAAGAAAGGAAAGAUGUCUCACCAGAACUCCAGGUUCCCCUCCGGCCAGAGGAUCUCGGCGAAGCCGCGGACGCUGGCGGCGUCGGUGGCCUCAUCGACGCGGAGGCUCUCCCAGGCCAUGCCGGGGAGCUGGCCGAUGUAGCCUCUGAACUGCCCCUUCUCCGACACCGUCCGCUGCUUGACCUCGAGAGGGAGCGCGAAGAGCUCCGGCAUGGCACGGGAGAAGAGCGCCCGCCGGAGGUCCGCGCCGAGCGCGUCGUGCGCGACCACGACGCAGCCAUGCGCCACCAUGGACGCGGUCACCGCGGCGCGGGCGGCCUCCCACCCAGCGCCACCGGGCACCACCCCGUGGAGGUCAACCUUGGCGAUCUCCAUCUCCAUGGCUCGCACCUCUGCGCCUCCGCCGGCUCCCGCCUCUACUCGAUCUGGCUUCUGCUAAUGGAAUUUUUGUUGUGCUUUAUACCGAUGCACAGUUGCUCACACACACACAUUUAUCUCUGUAUAUAAACGGAAGCACCUAGUAGUGCAUAAUACGGUUCUGUUUGAACCCACUUGUCUAAACAUCGAUUAUGGAUAGAAGAAAUGUUUCAGUUUUUAAUGAGCAACAGGAGACUAACCUCCAAAAGGUGUUUCCAGCGAGUGACAAGGGCAUCUUUAACAGUAUCCUAUUUUUUUCCUCCAAAAAGUAUAUAGUUUUGUAACUCCUAAUAAAAGAUUCGUAGAAAAAAGAAGAUUGUCUCCAAGAGUUUUCAGUAAUCUACUCCUAAAAUACAAUCCCUCCAUGUCAAAUUAUAAAGUGUUUGACUUUUUUACCAUAAACUUAGCCACUAGUUUUAUUUAAAAAAAUUUAUGUAAACAUAGUCAAAUUUAAAGUCAUUUUUAAAUAACUUUUAUUAAUAAACUGAGCCAUGACAAAAGAAUUAAUAUUUUGUAUAAAUUUUUAAAUAAGACAAGUGGUCAAACUUGGUGCCAAAAAAGUCGAACAUCUUAUAAUUUGAGAUGGAUUGAGUAGAAGAUAAUUUUACAUCAAAAAUCCUAUACUAUUUCUAAAUUAUCGUAACUAAUUUUAUAUAAGUUUUCUCUCAUGUAUUUACAUCAAUAACUCUUUCAUACUUUUUAUUCUUUUCCACACCCUUCCACCUUUAGAUUGACCGAGAAGAUGAUGCGGCGAAGAGCGAUGCUCGCAAAAAAGGCCGUGUGUAUUUUUACCACGAUGUUGACCUAUUUGUUAAUUGCCAAAAGAUAGUGAAGAAAUAUGGGGUACUCUUACAGAUGAAAUUUUCUCCUUUUUUUUUAAAAAAAAAGAUGGAUGGGAAAGUUUAAGUACGCACGCAAAACGGUAGGAGGCCGGUUUCACACAGAUUCUUAUCUCAUCGCUUCCUACUUUUCUUUAUUUUUUCAGUAAUCCUUGUUUAGUGUAACAAGUUAAAAUGGGUUGUACAUAAGUUGUUCUUCAACCAAAAAAAAUUAGAAUCGUUUGAAGCAUGAUUUUAUCUAUAUGUUUUUUUUUGAAAAAAAUAUUUUCUUAUAAAUUGGAAUAUUUUUCUUCAAACCAAAAAAAAUAUUUUUUUUUGAAGCCAAACAGUUCCUAUAAAGUGAUUCUAAUUCAUCAUCCAAAAUGUUUUUAGAGAAUUUGACUCCAAAGUAUUUUCGUGAAAAUUCAGAGCCCUACAUUGGAUCUGCAAUAUGGAAAAUCCAGGUGUUUGGUAAUUCUUAUUAUUGCUCAUAAAUUCUGUCAUAAAUGUAAAAUACCUAGUUGUUCGAAGCCGAAUUGGUAGCCCAUGCCGAUUACAUUCACCGGAUGGUUUAUGUUGCCCUGGUUGAGCCGGAGUUAGAUUCAAUUUCUAGGUUCGAUCUGUAUCUAACAGUUUGUUUUGUGAUGUAUUCAGACUCUACCCUGAGAUAGAUCUUCCACCUUAUAUAAAUAUAAAGGGCCAUGAUUUGGUCUGUUCGCUUGGCAGAAAAAACCAUAGUUGAAAGUAUUAUUUGGUGAUUUAUUGGUUGUCAGAUUCGACAGAUAAGUUCAAAUGAAUAGGCUCAAAGAGUAUUCAAUCGAUCAAAAACAAACCAAUCUACUACUUUCCUUUUUUAUGUCUUUUAUCUAUUAACCCUUCGUUCCAACCUCACCAGAUGUUACAAGCAUCCACAGUUCAGAAUUUCGGCCCGAAAUUCACGAAUUCGGCAAAGUUCGUUUCUAUCGCCAGGGUCCGAUAAAGUCCAUAGCGGCCUUUCAAUUUCGACCCGGUUUGAAUUUGUUUUCAGCCCAACCAACCCUAUAUGGCCCAUGUUUGUAGCAAUACAACUUUUCAAUGCAACAAAAUGCAUCUUCUGUUGGAGAUUAAAGAUUAUCAGAUUUUUUGUUCAAAAUUUAGGUUAAUUUCAUCAAAUCUCAAGGAAAAUUCAAAUAGGUUUGACUAUUUUUUAGACUGAAUUUUUUCGAAAAUCGCCGAAAUUCACAAAAUCCGUUCCUAUCGCUGGGGUCCGAUAAAUUUUCAUCCAACUGUAGCCUGAACUAUGCAAGCAUCUCAAUGGUGUUUGUGGCAUUUUAGAUGGCCUUGCCGACUCUAAAACAACCUUAGAUGCAUGUCACUGAUGAACUCCUUUCUGGGAGGCAUAAUUUGAGAGCGUCAGACGGUAAGUAGCUCUCACCUAAAAGUGUGACGUGCAUGUUUUAUCGAUAUGCAAUCUAUGAAUUCCAUCACUGUACGGUAUAAUAUUGUCCGGUGUGUAUAAUUUCAUCACCAUCGCAUGGUCUGGUGCACACAUUUAUGCCGAGGGUUCAUCGAUUUGUGAUCCAAGCAUUCGGGCGUCGUAGUGGAUAGUCCAGUGUGCAAAUCUUCAACAUCACCAGACUAUCUAGUGUCUAGUGUGUUUUCGUCGAGGAUUCUCUGAUCUGCAAUCCGCGCUAUAACAUCCCAACCUAGUAGAAGCAUGUAGUAGCUGCACUGGCGGAGCUAGGUGAGGGCCAUACGGGGCCAUGGCCCCCCCCUUGCCUCCGUAAUUUGCUGAUGGAGUCCCUCUGUUCUUGCAGCAUUAAGUCUUCGAAUUAGCUGUGACAGACCAGGCGUAGAUCGGCUGAGGCUAUGGUCAUUGGUCAGCCAUGCAUGUCCCUAGAUAGCAACCGUGUAGCACUCUCGACAUUUAGAAAAAUAAAAAGCAGUUUUGUAGUAGUGCUCCCACCGCUGUUGCUCGGAUCCAUUACUUCAUUACCGUUUUCUUUGCUUAUGUUGCUAUCGUCGUUAUAAGUCAUGUUGAUUUUUCUAAAAGUACUAAUUGCAUUCUGUAUACCGGAACUUAAUUAUGAGUACUAACACUAUUUUUUUACUAUACUUAUGUUGAUUCAAUUAGCAAAUUGGCUUGUGUAUGCAUGCGCAGAAGCAUGCUUUUGAUUUUUUUUAGCAAAUUGGCCCCUGCUUUAUCUUAUUUCUGGCUCCGCCACUGAGUAGCUGUAUUGUUGACCCAUAUAGUCCAUGGGCAUGUGUGGUUAUCAUCUUUAUUGUUCCAAGCGUAGCAUCCUGGGUUAAGCUUUUUGCAAAAAGUGAGAAUAAAAGUGUAGGAGAGGUGCUAUGCAUACAUAUGCAGGCCCGUUUUAUGUGAGAAGUUUGGUCAUAUAAGCAGGUUUUGAACAUGAGGUUUUUAUAUUUGGUGAGUUGACUCUGCUCGGUACUAAUCAGAUUUUUUAGAUGAGGUGUUACAUUUGGUGACUCCGCUCGGUAUUUCAGUUUGGAUGGCCGAAAUCAACUCAAGCAAUGGAUGAGUGCAUGCGAAUUUACACAAGCAUCUUGAAGAGAUCCUCAUAUUUCGUUUCUCAAAAUAUGAUAUUGUCAACUCCUAAAUUAGUAUGAGAGGAAAAAAAGAAGUCAUCUCCAAGAGUUUUCUAUAUUUUUAUCUUAAUUUUUUUUCUUGGUACUUUUUCCUACAACCUGGUAUUAUGUUUUAUAUCAAAAACCCUGAAUUUGUUUCGUACGUGUUUAAGCUCUUCCACUAGAUCUUUCUCUCUUGUGUUUUUCUUACCUGUCUUUCUCCCUGCUUACUAGACAGACAAAGAAACUUCAUAUAUGCGUGUUUAGGAUAAAUUUUUACGAGGUUGGGCGAAAGAUGGAGAGAGAAAAUGUCAAACUAUUAGAGAUGAUUUUUUUUCUUAUUUUAAAAAAAUUAAUGAUGGAAAAGCCGAAUGAUAACCGUUGAAGAUGCUCUAAGAGAUUAUAUUUGUCAUGUUUUCAAGAAGCUUAGCAAGGCGUCAUUAAUGCAAAGGAGUGGAAGAAACCUAGCAGAAUUGACGUGUAAAGGGAGAUGCAAUUUUCAGAUACUAUAUAUCCGGUCCUUUAUCCAAUCUCAUCAUCACUAUGUUUAAUGCAUCAGAAAAAAAAUAAUUGGUAAAAAAGAUAGUAUAGAUCUAAGCCCGUUCCACAACAAAUCAGUGAACAGUACUUUUAGCCAUAACUUUUCAUCCUAAUAUCCAAAAUUUGGCCAUUAAAAUAACUAUAAAUCAGCAAAUGAGCCAACUAUUGCUAAUAAUAAUGCCAAACUACUUAUUCGUUGAACCCUGUGAGAAUAGGCUAGCUAAUGAUGUUGUUGGCCAAGAUAACGAAAUCCUAAUUCGGUGAUCUCAAACCGAAUUUAAUGAAAUCAAAUCCACAUGUGCUACUAAUUAAGGAUGAACCAAAGCCUUCCUAAGAGAAAAUAGAUCCUACAUCUAUUACUUCCACAUUGGGGGUGAGGGGUAACAAAGAGAUGAUUCAGCUGACCGAUUAGAUUCAAAUCGGUCUAUUAUUGCAAAGCCAAAGAUGUUAGAACAAAAAAAAGCCUAAGAUUGUUGUUUGGAAUUGAAAAGCGUCAAAACCAAAGGACAUAACAAGCAUCAAUACAAAAAAGGCGAAGCCCACUAUUGAGAAGCUUCUGGCUAAGUGUUAAAAACCAAAUAAUAUUAAAGACGCUAGUCGGCCUACCAAUUCCUAGGAAGCAAUUUAGCCUUAAGAAUUCGCAAUGAAAUAAUUCUUAUGCACUAACGCCAUUCCCUCAAUAUGGAUCAUAUAUUCAUAUGUGCCUAUGCUAUAUGUGCCUUAUUUUUGCAUUUUUUCUUCACCAUGGUAUUCUUGUAAUUCUUGGAUGCCGUCUCCUUGUAGAUAUUUUUGUUCAGAUUAGAUUACUUGCAGAGAGCAAACAAUUCACAGGCCAUCACCUACAAAUAAUGACUGAUUUGAUCAAACAAAUUGAUCUGUGGAGAAAAAUAAGAGCAAAGUGAUUAGGCAAGUCUAUCGUAUCAAGAAUGCUGGGAAUUUGAAGGAAGAUUCGGAUAUGGCUCAAGACAAAGAAAAACCGAUAAUUGGAGAAAUAUUGGUAAGUCCUAUUGAUCAAAUUGUCCCUAAUCGAGCUUGUUUUAGAACACAGCUGAAAAAAAAUCGAGUUUCGCUAUCGGGAAGAUAUAAACGUCGUUUACUCUUGGGGCAUGUCGGUGUUUUCCCCCAGGGGGUCACACCAACGAGUAAAACUAGUGCGUGCUCCCCUUUCCAGACGGUGAUGCAAGAAAAGACACAAAGAUUUAUCCUGGUUCGGGCAAGAGAAGGUCCUACGUCCAGCGGGGGAGAGAAGUUUCUAUUAUCUUGCACCUAAGUGCUUAUACAGGGGUGAAUACAGACGUUGUAUGGAUGGAGAUGGAGUAUGGUUGCUCUUCUACGUAUGUCUUCUGUUGUGUAUCCGCUCCUAAGCUUCCCCUUUUAUAGUUCCAAGAGGAGACCUAGGUUACAUGCAUAGGCGACAGAGUAGGGGUCGAUAGGGGUGUGGCGCGCUGACCUACUCGAGGCUUCCGUACCGGCGUGGCCUCAAACCGUCUUGUCUCGGUACUUUGAUGAUGAUUACGCGUGCCCCUGAAUCCUGCUCCUGUGCGCCGUCCCGGACCGGUUUAUCCGUUGCACGCUUGUACGUCGUGGCGGCAGCUGUGUCAGAGUGGUUGAGGUGCCGUCCUUCGUCGCCUGACCCUUCUUUGGGAAGGAACAUGCCUGUUCGAGGGUCAGGUGCCGCACAAAGCCUUGCUGAGCAGAGCGCUGACUUUGGGCGUCUCGAGGGGGGUCUUGACGGGACGUUUCGACCACCUUGCUGCGCCCUGCCAUACUCUGGCUCGUUUGGUGGGCAAGGCUGCAAAAAGAACGAUUGGACGGGUGCUCGUUCCCUAUCACGUUUUCCGUGACUGACGGGUUAGGUGAGAACGCAGCAGGCGCAUUAAAUGCCCUGGUUUCCGUGCCCGUGUCAGGCGGCGGGCGGCGUCCUUGCGCUCGAGGCCUUUCGAUUCGUACGAGCCUGUUUCCGUAUUCAACGGUCGUCGUUGGGUCGAGCCCCAGUCGGUUCGCACGACGCUCUUUCCGUGUUCGAGGCUGUGGACGUCGAUACCCGUGCAUGCGGCUGGGGGGGGGCGUCGAGUCGGGGACCUCGAUUUGUGUACGGGUGCUCUCGCCAAGUGCGUCAGUUAGGGUACUCUUACUGAUACCCUCGACAGGGCAGGACAAAGAACUUUUUUAAAAAAAAAUUGUGUUAACUCUUCUUUUUCUUCAUUCAGAAGAUGCAAACGGCAGUGACAGUAAGGAAACAAGUUUGGCAUGCUUUAGAACUAGAAGAUACCCCGCACCUUAUGCAUGAUUCUUAUAUAUGAGUUAAAUCAUCUAUAUAUUUUUUAUAUCCAUUGUAAUUAAAAUUGGUUGCAUUAAGAGGUUAGAAGUUAGUGAGAUGAUAUGGUCAUUAGUGGAAGAUGGUGUAGAUGCAUGGUCAGUGAAAGAUGAGUUGCCUGGUAAGAUAAAAUUUGUAGUGAGGGAGACUCUAGAAGCAGAAAAAGAUAUAGAUGAUUUAACUAAUAUAUGCAACAGUUAAGAUGACGUGGAUGAGAUAUGAAUCGGUGCACUGCACUCUAGAAUCUUUGCUGUACUUCGUGGGAGAUGUAGCGGUUGCAGAAGUCAGCUGAGUAGGUGCACCUAGUUCGUCAUACAACUUAAAAAAAAUCAAAUGGUGACUUUAUCAAAUCAAAUGGUGGUGUUCAGCGCUAGUUGCAACCAGGUUGACAAAGUGCGCGCUAGUUGCAACCAGGUUGACAAAGUGCUGAACUGACCACACUUAUUGGCGAAGAUUACCAAAUGUGUGUGUUGUGCUAGGUCGUCUGUAAUUCUGAUUUGAGAUUCUAUCCUCCUCUCCACCUAAUAAUCAAGAAUAUUUUAUAGUGUUGAAUUAAUAUAAUGGUUAUCAUCUUUUCCUUCUAAUAUAAUGAUAAUUUAGAAAGUAGAUUUACUCCCUGUUUGCUGGUUUGAAAAUUAGUCAUGGCUGAAAGUACUGUUCGCUGACUUAUUGUGAUAGAAAAAGUACAGUUUAUAAGAUAAGCGAACGGGCUCAUAAAUCCUCUAACAUCUCUCGUGCAUAUUUGUAGUGGAGUAGAAUUUACAACUCUGAAUUACUUUUGGAUAGGUACUGAUAAUUGUUUUUCCUGUUCUUCGACCCAAAUCAGAAUCUGCUGCAACAAUUGUUCAUCGGUUUUGCACCCAGGCGCACUCGCACGUUGAAUCUCUCUGUUUGCCUUAGAGCAGGUAUUAUGGUGGACUGUAAGCUGGCUAAAUGCUGAUGUGGAGGAGAGAAGCGAGGAGAGAGAGGAGAAGCAGACUGUAAGUUUACAGCCAGCUUAGAUAAAAAAUCAAAAAACUUUGUGAGAGAGAUAAGUGGACCAUAUAUUAAUAGUGAAUAGGUAACUAUUGUAUGGGUGAGCUAGGAUUCUUACAGCCAGCAAGUGAGCUGUAUUAUUAAACUUGCUCUUAGAAGAAGACAAAUGUUCAAACCCAGUGUGUAAACUGCAAAUGGUCUCAACUCAAAGUACAGUAUUAACUCUUUCCAACGGCUGGAGGGAUAAUAAGCUAGCGACAGACAGCAUAACAACUGUGUGUAAAAACUGCAAAGUAUUUGGUAAAUAAAGAUGAGUUCGGAUGGACAUUAUAAUAUUAUAUUUGACUAGGAUCAUGCCCGUGCGUUGCAAUGGGAGAAAUAAUUCCACGAUAAUACAACCGGAAUCAUUUAUUUUGCGUUGCAAUGUAAACAAAACAAUUUCAUGGGAAAAAUAACAAUUCUACGAUAAUACAACCAGAAUCAUUUGUUUUGCGAUGCAAUAUAAAAAAACAAUUCCACAAUAACUCAAGUUUAAACAUGUGUUGUAAAAUUACCAAAAAAAAUAAGCGUCAAAUAUCUGCAAGACAAAACUAUGCUACGAUAAUUUUAAGUUUGAAUGUAGGUUGUAUCAUGUUCAGAAAAUUGACUCUUGGAGCGUGUUUUGGACUCAUGUUUUGCUUGGGGGACCAACGGCUGCAAUGAUCAUAGAUGACGAUGCCCUUAAAUGUCUAUAGCAAGCAGAAAGAAGUGCUUCAUUUUCUUAAAUGUUUGCCAUUAGCGUUGAAUACAACCCCUCGUUGUGUUUGCACAAAGUGCGCCCAGCUGCAGAUAAUAACAGGGUGCUGAAUAAACCAAUUGUCCAAACAGAAUAAUUUAUUUAAACUACAAUUCUGUUAAAAAGUUUCAGAAAGUUACCUUUUUAUUGUUGUCUGCUGCAAUAUCCUCUUCUUCAAAAAUUCAAACUUUUUACUACUAUCAAAUCAGCAGUGUGGCAGCAGCAACAUGCAGUCUGAACUCAAGAUCAAAUUUGUGAUGAGACACUUGAAUGGUCGCCCCAAGAUUAAACACCAAAAUGGAGAAAAUAAGACGGCAAGUGCAAUGUUGUCUAGUAUGUCUUUUUGUUCAGAUAAAAAUUUCGGUUAUUUUAUUGCAUUAUUGAUUCUACACAGAAUCUAUCAUGGAUUUACUUAUGUGUAGGCAUCAUUGACUAAAUCAACAGACAGAAAACAAAAGGGCAUAUAUAUGGCAUCUGUGAAGGAUUAAGUAAUCAAUUAUCAAAUAAGCAAUAAAAUAAUUCUAAUCUACCACUUUUCGACAACGCACUAUUUCAGUUCUUCAACGAGUUGAUCAUGGUCAGAUUGUUUCUGUCUUGAUUUGCUUUCUAUCGGAAUUCCUAAAAUUGCUUUGACUGUAGACUUUGGUCAGUGGCACGAGGCACAACUUGCUUCAAUGUGUUUCUAAUCUGUGCUGCUAGCUGGUUCUUCUCCUCUAAGUUUUCUUUCCUAGUGCCAUGUUGUUCAUGACCUCUGUCUUGUGGCAUGACUUGAUUCAACAUACUUUUGGGUCACAGUAACACAUGCCUGAAGUCAAAUAUAUUGAUGACUCCUAAAUCAAUAAUGGACAGAGAUGUCCUCUGUGCAUCAGGUAUUCAGGUUGAUGUACCCACUUCUCAAGAUUCUCCAUGCUAGUCAUCAACCUCACAGGUUCCUUCAUACCGAUGACUCGACGAGCUGACUGCUAACAAGAUGAUGCGGCCACCUACUCCAGCACACGCUAGGCCUCAAGACAUUUUUGUUGUUGGUUAUUGCAAGAGGGCUUUGCUGACAAUGGCACGAUGAGCUACACUGCACUGUGCUCAUCAGGUGCACUGUUGUUAUGAAUCAAUUGAAUAGAUGCCCCAAUAUUAAUGAGGUUUGCAGAACAACAAAAUUUGCACAAUGAUAUGAACAACUAAUUUGGCUACCAGAAAUCAGAAUAAUCAGCAUCUCAUUCUUGCCCAUUUAUUACCUUUUUGCAACAUGGCCAUCCAAAUUCAGAAAAGCAAAGCAUGCAGAGCAUUCGGCUGCUUCAACCUUCACGUUGGAUACACAUUCUUCUUAAUUCUUCCCCCUGUCACAAAUUCAUAUAAGCAAAAUGAAAGAAGUGGAUGCAGAUUCGAUUCGCGGUCCCAGUUUGCGCACAAAUCCAAAUGGCACUCCCUGGAAAUCAUCUCUAAAGAAUCCAACACCCUGCUAAAAAAAUCAAACAAAAUCAGAUAGAAAGCAUUCAAGCAAGACCACUCUGUGAGAUCCUCGAGCCCGCGGAGGACGACGACAAGGCCGGCCAUGGCAACUCUGUCGAGGAGCGCUUCCAGGUCAUCCUGCUCACCCAGCUGCACGUACAGCUCUGGAUCCGAGGGCCUGGGUUAUCUUCCUGUCUUGAGCGAGGGAGAGGAGGCGGUGGGAAGGGACAGGAGGCGGCGGUGUUCGGGCUCGGCUUCUCUCGAUGGCGGCAUGCUGGGAUCACGAGGGCUCAUCCGUACGGCGAGGGCGACGACGGCGCGAGUGCGACAGCAACAGUGACGACGGCGGCGGUGCGGGUACGACGUGGAGGGAGAGGAGGCAGCGACGUUCAGGCUUAGCUUCUCCGGAUGGCGGUGCGCUAGGAUCGCGAGAGCUCGUCCGUUCGGCUGAGUGUGACGGCGAGGGAGAGGAGGUGGCGGCAUGGGCGACCCUCGCGUGCGAGUGCGCACAGCGAGGGGCACGGGGACGGGGGAGAGGGAUCUCGCGAGGGGGAGGGGAGACGGGAGGGUGAUUGGAGGAAGCGUGGAUGGUGCCGGGCGGGCUGACAGCGAGCACGCGUGGAGAAGUCUCGGCCGGGUCUGAGAGCGAGGGCACAUGGGGAGUGCCGAGCGACACCAGAUCGCGGGGUGGAUGGAAUAGUUUUAGAUGUUUUAGUUGUAGAGAUGUGUAGCUGCCUGUGAUAGGAAUAGAAUAGGAUCAUCAUGCCAUGGCUCCGACGACCUUCUCCUCCUUGUCCACUCCACAGUAGACCAUGAGCGGAUCGCUGAAUCUGUGCCCUUCCUCCGAGUAACGCCACUUGGAGUACUCCUCGUGGUCGUGGCGCAGCGGGCUGUACACACCAGCAGGUGCUCCACGUCGACGAGGUCCUCCAGCGCGCGCACCAAGACGCCGUCCUUCUGCCGGCGGCCGAACAGCACCGAGAACCGCUCGCGGUUGCUCGGCGUCCUCACCCGGUGGAGGCACGCCGGCACGCGCCCGUUGGUCACGACCA